rnacentral:lncRNA from 1 species
UCCAUUUAUGUAUGUUCUAUCAACAUAGCUUACCAUUAUGUGCUCUAGUAUGAUAUAAGUAGAAGAUUUGCCCAUCGCCUCUGCUAUACGUCGUUUUUAUAUCAUCAAAACAAAAUUCUAGUAUUGUAAAACCUUCAGUUAUACAUAUUUUUUAUCAAUGAGGAUUCAGAACAUAAAUUCAAUUAAUUCAUUGCCAACGAAGGCACAUCAAACAAGCACAUGCAGAUAAAAAAGCUGUAAUUUCUUAUUCUGUUCAAAACCUUACAUACGACCUUCAAUAAAACUAUUUAUUCCAAUUCAUUUGCUACUGUGCCAGCAAAUUAUUCAUAACAGCUUUCUCUCAAAAAAAAGGUGCACGCUGAGGGAUCCCCUUUCGGCGGUGAUGAAUAGCCCUUGGUGAAGAUGGAUUAUCCUUGCAAUAAUCUGCAUCGCUGCAACUCUCUACAUUGUUACCAGUAUUUCCACUUGUGUUACUGGAAUCUGUGUCAUCAUCCUUCCUUGUAUAGUCAAUAAUAUCUCCAAUCGGAACACUUGUCCUCAUAUCCUCUUUGAUUCCUUUAAGCUGCCAAAAAAAUAGUCAAAAAUAUGAAAACGUUAAAUGAAUUAAUAACACAGGGUAUGUUUCACUAGUUACACAAUAGUUUAGUAGCUUACAUUGCAACCCAGAGAGCAGAAGCGGAAUGGGUCAAGAAGAGCACGAUUGCAAAUCUCACAAUUGUAUGAUGAUAAUGAUGCCUUGAUCGCGGAAACACCACAACCACGAUGUUGUGGGCGCUCAUUAAGAAAUACAACUGUUGCACUAUUGAUGACAUACGUUUGUACAUCACUGAUAUCAAGUAUAUCUUUUAACUCGGCAACCCUGACCACAUCAUGGUAUGAUGACCGCCUUAUCUACAAGAUUCCAUAAGUUAAUUCAUGUUGGUCAUGACACAAAGGUAGAUAAUCCACCUUUUCAUGAAACGUAAUACAUGUUUGAUAUUUUUAUAUGAUGGGUUGUAUUAGAUUUGGUAACUUUGGACACAUGUUCUGUAAAUAUGAGGUAGGUGUUAAUACCAACCAUAUUUAUAUAACAAGAUCCCCAAGUUCAUAGAUAAUAUAAAAUGAUGUAAAAUUCUCUUGCAUAAUCUCAAUUACCAAAUCAUAACGUUGUUCACCAUACCUGGAUUACACGAUGGGUGGAAUGAUGGCGCGAACGACAAUAAUAGCAGAAGGCGCCCUUUGAUUCCUCGCAAUCUAUGCAGAAUAGGUUACACUCAUUACGAGUAGAGGAGAGAUGGUUGGUGCAAAUUGUGAAGAACUGUGUUGCAAGCAAUAGCUCUAGCCAUGUCGGCACCAUCCCCCCCUUCAUGGCGAAAACAAAGAUACUUUGCAAUUGUACUACUAUGUGUUGUGUUUAGUAAGGGACGGUAUGCGGUACCUUUAUAGUGUGAUCUAGGCAGUAAAACAGCUGGCGCACAUAGUUUGUUGCGGAAUUUGUGGGGCUGAAACUGACAUGUGGUCCAGAAAGACAGGCCCGCAUAUGUUUUGUAAUUUUUAGGUGCUUAGGUUAGGUACAACCAAACAUUUGGCAUUUCUCCAUUUCAGUGGAUGGUUAUCCAUUCUUCAUAGUACAUCUAGGAAUACAUUUCACGUGCACAAAAUAUUUUCUUUAGUGACACAAAUGCCAAAAAGGGUUGUCACCAAACAUAAUGGGAAAGGAUGAGUACUUACUUAGGCCAUGAAAAAACAAUAAGAAUGUGUGCAUUAAGAUUAAUGGCUUAGCCAACACAUAAUUAGUUCUAUGACUCAAAUAUUUUAUGAUAUAUAAAUACUGGAAAUUAUAUGGCCCACAUCAAUACUAAGACAAUUGUGAAAAUAAAUUGCAAAUCAAACAAAAGAUCUGAUCUACAAACAUAUAUUUUUAUUAUGAGAAUCGUCUUUAGAUGUGCUCCUUUUGUCUUUUCCUGUGUGUACUUUGAAAUAUCUUCCUUUUUUACGGAUCAAAUAGGCAUUUAUUCCAUUAUAGCAGGAUUACACAAUCCAGAGGCAAGAGAACCUCGAUACACGGGGGUCCUCUGUUCAUCCACAAAGCAGUGCAACACUCGGAGAGACUAUAUCUUGCUAGGAAAUCUGGGAUCCUAUUUCAAGCUCUAUGAACUUUCUGGUGAAUAAACGAACUACCAACCAUAUUUUCGCUGCCGGCCAAACAUUUUUCCAUCCAGCCCUGAACAUUUUCCCACACCUAUCCUUGAGAUAGCUAAAAGCACCAUUGAUUGAUUUCCAACAUCAGAGGACAAGCCAAGAUAACGUUCAGCCAAAGUUUCAUUAGGGAUGUGAAGAAUACCCUUAAUCAAAGCUACAGUUUCCCCAGAACAUCUCCUACCAAAGCAAACUGAAGAUUUGUCUAAAUUGAUUCUUUGGCCAGAAGCAUUGCAAUAAGUGUCCAGAAUCAGAUUCAGCCUUGUGACAUUCUGCCAUGUAGCUUUACUGAACAAAAUGCAAUCAUCAGCGAAGCAUAAGUGGUGUACCUUGGGGGCUGUCGCUGCUACCUGGACACCCUCGAUCUGUUCCUCACUCGCCUCAUGUUUCAGCAGACAGGAAAGACCUUGACCAGCCAAAAGAAAAAGGUAUGGGGGGAUGGGGUCACCCUGCCUAAUUCCCCUGGUCGGGGUAAACUCCUGAGUUUUCCUCAAUUGAAAAGGACAGAGAAGGAGACUGUUCGCACACCCCUCAUGACUGUAUCAACAAAGGACUGACAUAGACCAAGUUUGAGCAUAAUGGCUUCAAGAUACUCCCACUCCAAGCGAUCAUACGCCUUCUUCAUGUCUAGUUUGAUUGCACAAUGACUAUUUGAUUUACUCCUAUUAGUUUUCAUAUAGUGCAGACAUUCAUAAGCAGGGAUCACAUCAUUGGUGAUUAGGCAGUCAGGUACAAAAGUUGAUUGCUCUUCCGAUAUGUUGUCACGGAGAAUCUGCUUCAGACGGUUAGCCAGUCACUUGGAUGCAACUUUAAAGAUUACGUUGCACAAGCUAAUGGGCCGAUACAGAGCAAGAUGACUGGGUUUCAAACUUUCAAUACCUUGGGAAUAAGUAUGAACGUACUGUUGAUCUCUGCAGGGAAUCUUCUCCCUUCAGAAUCCGAAUUACAAUUUUCGUCACUUCCUCUCCACACAAAUACCAAUAUUUCUGAAGAAAAAAAUGUGUUGGAAAUCCAUCCCGACCCGGUGAUUGGUCGCGAACAUUUGAAAAAGGGCUUCUUUGACUUCUUUUUCAGUAUAGGGUUUCUUCAAAAGUUCAUUCAUAUCCAAUGUCACCUAACACUGAACAUGCGAUAGCUUCUCCUCUAUGCCAAUGACACCUUCUGAAGAAUAAGGAUCCUUGUAGAAUUGGACUGCCAUUUGGUGUAGAUCCGCUGGAUCCUCGCAGAUAGUACCAUCUGCAUGAGUUAGAUUUACCACUCGAUUCUUCUUUUUUCUAUUACUUGCUUUCUGAUGGAAAAAGCGCGUGUUGCUGUCCCCCUCCAUCAGCGACUAGAUGCGAGCUCUCUGACGCCACAUAACUUCUUCCCUGAAGUUUAGCUCAACCAUCCUUUGCUCAAUCUUUAUCUCCUCAUACAUUGGUCCCACACGUGGAGUUCAGCCAACAUCUUCCGAAGUGCACACAUCUUGUAACGAACGGCUCCAAAUUCAGACGUCCCCCAUCCCAAGAUGGACGACGAUGUUUGCUUCAGUUUCUCACACAACUCGGUCACUGAACCACAUGAGUUCAUAUCGAAAUGGUUUACGGUCAGCAAUUCUCAUAUUGUUUGCCUCCAUCUUGUUCAAUGAAAAAAAAUAGCGCGCUAUUAGCAUAUAGAGAAUUGUCUCGCUAAAUAAAUCAAUGUACAAUGCCUCGCUAAUAGCACGUUAUAGCGCGCUAUAGCACGCUAAUAGCAUAUUUUCAGGGGUCACGCUAAUUUCUGUAGCAUGCUAUUUUUUUCAUUGAUCUUGUUAAACAAUAAGAUGGGCGAGUGAUCCAAAUUUGUUAAAUGACGCACUGUUGCGUAAGGAAACAUAUUACACCACUCCGGCGAUGCAAGAGCUCUGUCCAACCUGACCCUACAGAACUCGUCAUUCGAAUACGUCUUUCAAAGGUCCAGUCAAGGCCGUUGUACCCAAGAUCACAUAAUUCUGUGAAGAGACUAAUUUCUGCCAUAUCUCUCCGGUUUGGGCCAAACUGCUCUUCCUGUCGCAAUACCUCAUUAACCUCCACAACUAGAUGGUCAUAAGCGGAUGGAUAAAGACCCGGCCCACAAAGUGUGGACAGUGCAGUUCAUCAAUCAGACCACACCGGUAUGUGCUCCUAGCAUAGCUGCUUUUACAUGAAACAACUUAUUUUUACAUGCAGCACGUUUUGUUAAUGUGAGAUGGUAGUACAAUACAACAUGCCACAAAACGUGCGGGUACCAUCCCCUGGUACCAUCGCACUAAGACACAAAUUUGAACAUUGGUUUGCUAUUUUUUUUUCUGUUUGUAGUAUAUGAGUAAGCAAACCAGGCCACCCUCGAAAAUAAAUCACACCCAAAUAAAAAUGAACCAAACAACUUUCCCCGUCAAAUCCAAACUGUGGGAGAAUUUUCAAAUGAAAUGCAAACAUACACUACAAUACAUUCUUCUGAGGUAACCUAAAUGAUAUGCAUCGUGCGGACCAAACUCAGGUUUCAACAUGAAUCUCAUUUCACAAAGUUCCCUUCUUAAUUUUUGGGAGGGGUAUACUGAAACGGAUCCCAAAUUAUCCAACAUAUUUAUUUUCCGUCUUACUAUUACUCUGGUAGAUACAGUGAAACUGAGAUUUUGCAUUAGGGAGGGCCAUGCUGUGGUGAGCAACAUGUUAAUCAUGCCAAGAGGGCGAGCACCAGGGAAGGUCUUAUUAUAAAAAAUAUUGUAUUCUAAGUAUCAGAAAUACUUGGUGAAGGCAAAAAGUCACUCGGCAAAGUCUUUGACGCGUAUAACACUAUAAAUCAUGAGAAGAGGGCGAGCACCAGGGAAAGUCGACACCAUCUUCAAGUAGUUGUCUCCAAGAUCAUGCUCCCAAACACAAUAUGGAAGAUUGGCCCUUCUUUUGCUCGUCUAUGAGAUGGUAUGUUGGCCAUCAAGCGCUUGUCCUACCACACGUGCUAUAUCGGACAAACAAUCAUCAUGUUGUGCAUUAUCUAUAAAUUUGUUACAAGUGGUCGAUCAUUGGCAUGCACCUUCCCGGGCCAGUGUGUCAUCCGCCUCUUUCUCAACACUACCACCGUCUGCCUACUCCGCCCGCAUGUCCUACUACUCCAGGACAACGUCCACAUCACCACUAUCAGCGGCCUGUUUGUCCACGGCGAAAAGAAAUGCCCACACAUGCAUGACCAGUGUGCUCAAAUGAUAUGAUGCUUGCUACUAGGAUAUAUAUACUCGGGAUCUAGGUUUAUAGCCUCAAAUUACACUAGGCNNNNNNNNNNNNNNNNNNNNNNNNNNNNNNNNNNNNNNNNNNNNNNNNNNNNNNNNNNNNNNNNNNNNNNNNNNNNNNNNNNNNNNNNNNNNNNNNNNNNNNNNNNNNNNNNNNNNNNNNNNNNNNNNNNNNNNNNNNNNNNNNNNNNNNNNNNNNNNNNNNNNNNNNNNNNNNNNNNNNNNNNNNNNNNNNNNNNNNNNNNNNNNNNNNNNNNNNNNNNNNNNNNNNNNNNNNNNNNNNNNNNNNNNNNNNNNNNNNNNNNNNNNNNNNNNNNNNNNNNNNNNNNNNNNNNNNNNNNNNNNNNNNNNUUCUCGUUUCUAUUUUUCGAUGCCACUCCCCAUGACAGAAAGUGCCCUAAUAUCCUUCUCAUUAACCCUCCAAGGUACCUGGUAGUGUUGUUUGGAAUUCUUAUCUUGUUGUGGCCUAUUGGGCCCCUCCUGGGUUGUCUUGUUGCCAAGUGUUGGGAAACGUAGUAGAAAACAAAAUAUUUUCACCCCACGAUCAACCAGGAACACUACAAAGCUUCAAUAAUGGUUUGGAUCGGAUCGUUACCAACUCCGAGUUGCAGCGGAUGACGAUGAGUCACUGUAGACCAUACUUGAAAUCCCUCGAACCGUCGAUGGACAAUCUCUCGAAUGGAAGACCGAAAGCACGACCUCUCUGUAGAUUGCAAGCGUACGGUCGGCAGCACUUCGCCGUCCAGAGUUAAUCGUGGCCGGAGAAUUAGAGGGAGGAGAUUAGAACCAAAUUGGUCUUCUAAUUAUGAGGAUUAGAGGAUCUAGGUCUAGAUCUAAUUAGAUAAACUAGGAUCAACUAUAACUAGAACUAGAGAACUAGAGGAGGCUUCAAAAGUUGUGUAUCCAAAGUGCCAAAAUCCUCAAGUAUACAUAGGUUGGAGGGAGGGGAGAGGGGGGCUACAAGGGGAAGGAAAACAUCACCAUUUGGCAUGCCAAGGAGCAGAGGAAUCCCCCUCCAAUUCGGCCUCCCUUCCUUCUGCAAGGAGGAAGGGGGCGUCUCCACCUAUUAGGCCCAAGUGGCCAAAUAUGCUUUGCACCACUUGGCCCUUUAAGGCCCGUUGUUAUUAAAUUAAAUAUAAAAGCCUCCUGACUAUUAGUAGAUCCUUUUAUUAUUAAUUUAAAAUAUUUGAGAACAUUUUCCACCUAUAUAUUAUUUAUCAGGUAAUACCGGGUAUUACCCGAUAAACCCCGAAACCCUUCUGGAGACAAUGAAAUGCUUCCGGCCCUUGAAACUAUUUCAAUUAUUAGUGAAACUAUUUCACAAAUAUUUCCACAUUACUCCUGUCCUACUAACACUCUGCAGAUCGUGAUUACCUUAAGUUUGUGACCUUGUAGGUUCGAAAAAACAUAGACUUGAACAUAACCCCUUUCGUUCAAUGGUAGAUAACGGAACCGGGAACAUCCAAAUCGAUCCCUGUGAGUACACGAAUGACAUUUGAGUGAACAUUGGUUAUCAUGUGCUAUUCCCUUUGCUUCAUGAUACUUUAUAAAACCCAAGGUAAUAUAUCGAUAUCCUCUUGAGUCAUACACAUCCUCACUAUACAAGUCUCCUUGUUACCAUUUUCUUCUUCUUUCUCAUUGACAUGUUCCGGCACCACAACUUGAACUUUUAAGAAAAGAGAUCGCCUUGCGGGAUGGGUAGCUCAGGUAUCACUUGAAGCAAAUAUGCCCUAGAGGCAAUAAUAAAGUUAUUAUUUAUUUCCUCAUAUCAUGAUAAAUGUUUAUUAUUCAUGCUAGAAUUGUAUUAACCGGAAACAUGAUACAUGUGUGAAUACAUAGACAAACAUAUAGUCACUAGUAUGCCUCUACUUGACUAGCUCAUUAAUCAAAGAUGGUUAUGUUUCCUAACCAUAGACAUGUGUUGUCAUUUGAUUAAUGGGAUCACAUCAUUAGGAGAAUGAUGUGAUUGACAUGACCCAUUCCGUUAGCCUAGCACUUGAUCGUUUAGUAUAUUGCUAUUGCUUUCUUCAUGACUUAUACAUGUUCCUGUAACUAUGAGAAUUAUGCAACUCCUGUUUACCGGAGGAACACUUUGGGUACUACCAAACAUCACAACGUAACUGGGUGAUUAUAAAGGAGUACUACAGGUGUCUCCGAAGGUACAUGUUGAGUUGGCGUAUUUCGAGAUUAGGUUUUGUCACUCCGAUUGUCGGAGAGGUAUCUCUGGGCCCUCUCGGUAAUGCACAUCAUUAUAAGCCUUGCAAGCAAUGUAACCAAAUGAGUUGGUUACGGGAUGGUGCAUUACGGAACGAGUAAAGAGACUUGCCGGUAACGAGAUUGAACUAGGUAUUGGAUACCGACGAUCAAAUCUCGGGCAAGUAACAUACCGAUGACAAAGGGAACAACGUAUGUUGUUAUGCGGUUUGACCGAUAAAGAUCUUCAUAGAAUAUGUAGGAACCAAUAUGGGCAUCCAGGUUCCGCUAUUGGUUAUUGACCGAGAAUAGUUCUAGGUCAUGUCUACAUAGUUCUCGAACCCGUAGGGUCCGCAUGCUUAACGUUACGAUGACAGUUUUAUUAUGAGUUUAUAAGUUUUUGAUGUACCGAAGUUUGUUCGGAGUUCCGGAUGUGAUCACGGACAUGACGAGGAGUCUCAAAAUGGUCAAGACAUAAAGAUUGAUAUAUUGGAAGCCUAUGUUUGGACAUCGGAAAAGGUUUCGGGUGAAAUCGGGAUUUUACCGGAACACCGAGGGGUUACCGGAACCCUCCCGGGGGUUAAUGGGCCUUAGUGGGCCAUGAGGGAAAAGAGGAGGGCCGGCCAGGGCAGGCCGCGCGCCCCCUCCCCCUAGUCCGAAUAGGACAAGGAAGGGGGGGGCGGCGCCCCCCUUUCCUCUUUCCCCUCCCCCCUUUCCUUCUCCACCAAGGCAAGAGGGGGGAGUCCUACUCCCGAUGGGAGUAGGACUCCUCCAGGCGCACCCCAAGGGGGCCGGCCGCACCUCCCCCUCCCUCCUUUAUAUACGGGGGCAGGGGGCACCCCAUAACACACAAGUUGAUCUACGGAUCGUUCCUUAGCCGUGUGCGGUGCCCCCCUCCACCAUAUUCCACCUCGGUCAUAUCGCCGCGGAGUUUAGGCGAAGCCCUGCGCCGGUAGAGCAUCAUCAUCGUCACCACGCCGUCGUGCUGACAGAACUCAUCCCCGAAGCUUUGCUGGAUCGGAGCCCGGGGAUCGUCAUCGAGCUGAACCUGUGCUGAACUCGGAGGUGCCGUACGUUCAGUACUUGGAUCGGUCGGAUCGUGAAGAUGUACGACUACAUCAACCGCGUUGUGCUAACGCUUCCGCUUACGGUCUACGAGGGUACGUGGACAACACUCUCCCCUCUCAUUGCUAUGCCAUCACCAUGAUCUUGCGUGUACGUAGGAAUUUUUUUGAAAUUACUACGUUCCCCAACAGUGGCAUCCGAGCCUGGUUUUAUGCGUUGAUGUUAUAUGCACGAGUAGAACACAAGUGAGUUGUGGGCGAUACAAGUCAUACUGCUUACCAGCAUGUCAUACUUUGGUUUGGCGGUAUUGUGAGAUGAAGCGGCCCGGACCGACAUUACGCGUACGCUUACGCGAGACUGGUUUCGCCAUUAUGAGCACUCGUGCUUAAAGGUGGCUGGCGGGUGUCUGUCUCUCUCACUUUAGCUGAAUCGAGUGUGGCUACGCCCGGUCCUUGCGAAGGUUAAAACAACACCAACUUGACGAACUAUCGUUGUGGUUUUUAUGCGUAGGUAAGAAUGGUUCUUGCUAAAGCCCGUAGCAGCCACGUAAAAUUUGCAACAACAAAGUAGAGGACGUCCAACUUGUUUUUGCAGGGCAUGUUGUGAUGUGAUAUGGUCAAGACGUGAUGCUAUAUUUUAUUGUAUGAGAUGAUCAUGUUUUGUAACCGAAGUUAUCGGCAACUGGCAAGAGCCAUAUGGUUGUCGCUUUAUUGUAUGAAAUGCAAACGCCCUAUAAUUGCUUUACUUUAUCUCUAAGCGGUAGCGAUAGUCGUAGAAGAAAUAGAUGGCGUAACGACAACGAUGCUAUGAUGGAGAUCAAGGUGUCGCGCCGGUGACGAUGGUGAUCACGACGGUGCUUCGAAGAUGGAGAUCACAAGCACAAGAUGAUGAUGGCCAUAUCAUAUCACUUAUAUUGAUUGCAUGUGAUGUUUAUCCUUUAUGCAUCUUAUCUUGCUUUGUUUGACGGUAGCAUUUUAAGAUGAUCUCUCACUAAUAAUCAAGAAGUGUUCUCCCUGAGUAUGCACCGUUGCGAAAGUUCUUCGUGCUGAGACACCACGUGACGAUCGGGUGUGAUAGACUCUACGUUCAAAUACAACGGGCGCAAAACAGUUGCACACGCGGAAUACUCAGGUCAUACUUGACGAGCCUAGCAUAUACAGAUAUGGCCUCGGAACACGGAGACCGAAAGGUCGAACGUGAAUCAUAUAGUAGAUAUGAUCAACAUAGUGAUGUUCACUAUUGAAACUACUCCAUCUCACGUGAUGAUCGGACAUGGUUUAGUUGAUUUGGAUCACGUGAUCACUUAGAUGACUAGAGAGAUGUCUGUCUAAGUGGGAGUUCUUAAGUAAUAUGAUUAAUUGAACUUAAAUUUAUCAUGAACUUAGUACCUGAUAGCAUUUUGCUUGUCUAUGUUUGUUUGUAGAUAGAUGGCUCGUGUUGUUGUUUCGUUGAAUUUUAAUGCGUUCCUUGAGAAAGCAAAGUUGAAAGAUGAUGGUAGCAAUUACACGGACUGGGUCCGUAACCUGAGGAUUAUCCUCAUUGCUGCACAGAAAAGUUACGUCCUGGAAGCACCGCUGGGUGCCAGGCCUGCUGCUGAUGCAACUGACGAUGUUAAGAACGUCUGGCAGAGCAAAGCUGAUGACUACUCGAUAGUUCAGUGUGCCAUGCUUUACGGCUUAGAACCGGGUCUUCAACGACGUUUUGAACGUCAUGGGGCAUAUGAGAUGUUCCAAGAGUUGAAGUUAAUAUUUCAAGCAAAUGCCCGGAUUGAGAGAUAUGAAGUCUCCGAUAAGUGCUACAGCUGCAAGAUGGAGGAGAAUAGUUCUGUCAGUGAACACAUACUCAAAAUGUCUGGGUAUAAUAAUCACUUAAUUCAACUGGGAGUUAAUCUUCCUGAUGAUAGUGUCAUUGACAGAAUUCUUCAAUCACUUCCACCAAGCUACAAGAGCUUUGUGAUGAACUAUAAUAUUCAAGGGAUGAACAAGACUAUCCCCGAGCUCUUCGCAAUGCUAAAAGCAGCGGAGGUAGAAAUCAAGAAGGAGCAUCAAGUGUUGAUGGUUAACAAGACCACCAGUUUCAAGAAAAAGGGCAAAGGGAAGAAGAAGGGGAACAUCAAAAAGAACAGCAAGAAAGUUGCUGCUCAAGAGAAGAAACCCAAGUCUGGACCUAAGCCUGAAACUGAGUGCUUCUACUGCAAGCAGACUGGACACUGGAAGCGGAACUGCCACAAGUAUUUGGCGGAUAAGAAGGAUGGCAAAGUGAACAAAGGUAUAUGUGAUAUACAUGUUAUUGAUGUGUACCUUACUAAUGCUCGCAGUAGCACCUGGGUAUUUGAUACUGGUUCUGUUGCUAAUAUAUGCAACUCGAAACAGGGACUACGGAUUAAGCGAAGAUUGGCUAAGGACAAGGUGACGAUGCGCGUGGGAAAUGGUUCCAAAGUCGAUGUGAUCGCGGUCGGCACGCUACCUCUACAUCUACCAUCGGGGUUAGUUUUAGACCUAAAUAAUUGUUAUUUGGUGCCAGCGUUGAGCAUGAACAUUAUAUGUGGAUCUUGUUUGAUGCGAGACAGUUAUUCAUUUAAAUCAGAGAAUAAUUGUUGUUCUAUUUAUAUGAGUAAUAUCUUUUAUGGUCAUGCACCCUUGAAGAGUGGUCUAUUUUUAUUGAAUCUCGAUAGUAGUGAUACACAUAUUUAUAGUGUUGAAACCAAAAGAUGCAGAGUUGAUAACGAUAGUGCAACUUAUUUGUGGCACUGCCGUUUAGGUCAUAUCGGUGUAAAGCGCAUGAAGAAACUCCAUACUGAUGGGCUUUUGGAAUCACUUGAUUAUGAAUCACUUGGUACUUGCGAACCGUGCCUCAUGGGCAAGAUGACUAAAACGCCGUUCUCCGGAACUAUGGAGCGAGCAACUGAUUUGUUGGAAAUCAUACAUACUGAUGUUUGUGGUCCAAUGAAUGUUGAGGCUCGCGGAGGGUAUCGUUAUUUUCUCACCUUCACAGAUGAUUUGAGCAGAUAUGGGUAUAUCUACUUGAUGAAACACAAGUCUGAAACAUUUGAAAAGUUCAAAGAAUUUCAGAGUGAAGUGGAAAAUCAUCGUAACAAGAAAAUAAAAUUUCUAUGAUCUGAUCGUGGAGGAGAAUAUUUAAGUUACGAGUUUGGCUUACACUUGAAACAAUGCGGAAUAGUUUCGCAACUCACGCCACCCGGAACACCACAACGAAAUGGUGUGUUCGAACAUCGUAAUCGUACUUUACUAGAUAUGGUGCGAUCUAUGAUGUCUCUUACUGAUUUACCGCUAUCGUUUUGGGGUUAUGCUUUAGAGACGGCCGCAUUCACGUUAAAUAGGGCACCAUCAAAAUCCGUUAAGACGACGCCUUAUGAACUGUGGUUUGGCAAGAAACCAAAGUUGUCGUUUCUUAAAGUUUGGGGCUGCGAUGCUUAUGUGAAGAAACUUCAGGCAGAUAAGCUCGAACCCAAAUCGGAGAAAUGUGUCUUCAUAGGAUACCCAAAAGAGACUAUUGGGUACACCUUCUAUCACAGAUCUGAGGGCAAGAUAUUCGUUGCUAAAAUCGGAUCCUUCCUAGAGAAGGAGUUUCUCUCGAAAGAAGUGAGUGGGAGGAAAGUAGAACUUGAUGAGAUAACUGUAUCUACUCCCUUAUUGGAAACUAGUUCAUCACAGGAACCGGUUCCUGUGACAACUACACCAAUUAGUGAGGAAGCUAAUGAUAUUGAUCAUGAAACUUUAGAUCAAGUUUCUACUGAACCUCAUAGGUCUACCAGAGUAAGAUCCGCACCAGAGUGGUACGGUAAUCCAAUUCUGGAAGUCAUGUUGCUUGACCAUGAUGAACCUAUGAACUAUGAGGAAGCGAUGAUGAGCCCAGAUUCCGCAAAAUGGCUAGAGGCCAUGAAAUCUGAGAUGGGAUCCAUGUAUGAAAACAAAGUAUGGUCUUUGGUUGAAUUGCCCGAUGAUCGGCAAGCAAUUGAGAAUAAAUGGAUUUUUAAGAAGAAGACUAACGCUGAUGGUAAUGUAACUGUCUAUAAAGCUCGACUUGUUGCGAAAGGUUUUCGACAAGUUCAAGGAGUUGACUACGAUGAGACUUUCUCACCCGUAGUGAUGCUUAAGUCUGUCCGAAUCAUGUUAGCUAUUGCUGCAUUUCAUGAUUAUGAAAUUUGGCAAAUGGAUGUCAAAACUGCAUUCUUGAAUGGAUUUCUGAAAGAAGAGUUGUAUAUGAUGCAGCCAGAAGGUUUUGUUGAUCCAAUAGGUGCUAACAAAGUGUGCAAGCUCCAGCGUUCCAUUUAUGGACUGGUGCAAGCAUCUCGGAGUUGGAAUAAACGCUUUGAUAGUGUGAUCAAAGCAUAUGGUUUUAUACAGACUUUUGGAGAAGCCUGUAUUUACAAGAAAGUGAGUGGGAGCUCUUUAGCAUUUCUGAUAUUAUAUGUAGAUGACAUAUUAUUAAUUGGAAAUGAUACAGAAUUUCUGGAUAGCAUACAGGGAUACUUGAAUAAAAGUUUUUCAAUGAAAAGACCUCGGUGAAGCUGCUUACAUAUUGGGCAUCAAGAUCUAUAGAGAUAGAUCAAGACGCUUAAUAGGACUUUCACAAAGCACAUACCUUGAUAAAAUUUUGAAAAAGUUCAAGAUGGAUCAGGCAAAGAAAGGGUUCUUGCCCGUACUACAAGGUGUGAAGUUGAGUCAAACUCAAUGCCCGACCACAGCAGAAGAUAAAGAGAAAAUGAAAGAUGUUCCCUAUGCUUCAGCCAUAAGCUCUAUCAUGUAUGAAAUGCUGUGUACCAGACCUGACGUAAGCUCUAUCAUGUAUGCAAUGCUGUGUACCAGACCUGACGUAUGCAAUCCAGGAGUGGAUCACUGGACAGCGGUCAAGAACAUCCUGAAAUAUCUGAAAAGGACUAAGGAUAUGUUUCUCGUAUAUGGAGGUGACAAAGAGCUAGUCGUAAAUGGUUACGUCGAUGCAAGCUUUGACACUGAUCCGGACGAUUCUAAAUCGCAAACCGGAUACGUGUUUUUAUUAAACGGUGGAGCUGUAAGUUGGUACAGUUCUAAACAAAGCGUCGUGGCGGGAUCUACAUGUGAAGCGGAGUAGAUAGCUGCUUCGGAAGCAGCAAAUGAAGGAGUCUGGAUGAAGGAGUUCAUUUCCGAUCUAGGUGUCAUACCUAGUGCAUCUGGACCAAUGAAAAUCUUCUGUGACAAUACUGGUGCAAUUGCCUUGGCAAAGGAAUCCAGAUUUCACAAGAGGACCAAGCACAUCAAGAGACGCUUCAAUUCCAUUCGGGACCAAGUCCAAGUGGGAGACAUAGAGAUUUGCAAGAUACAUACGGAUCUGAAUGUUGUAGACCCGUUGACUAAGCCACUCUCACAAGCAAAACAUGAUCAGCACCAAGACUCCAUGGGUGUUAGAAUCAUUACUAUGUAAUCUAGAUUAUUAACUCUAGUGCAAGUGGGAGACUGAAGGAAAUAUGCCCUAGAGGCAAUAAUAAAGUUAUUAUUUAUUUCCUCAUAUCAUGAUAAAUGUUUAUUAUUCAUGCUAGAAUUGUACUAACCGGAAACAUGAUACAUGUGUGAAUACAUAGACAAACAUAUAGUCACUAGUAUGCCUCUACUUGACUAGCUCAUUAAUCAAAGAUGGUUAUGUUUCCUAACCAUAGACAUGUGUUGUCAUUUGAUUAAUGGGAUCACAUCAUUAGGAGAAUGAUGUGAUUGACAUGACCCAUUCCGUUAGCCUAGCACUUGAUCGUUUAGUAUAUUGCUGUUGCUUUCUUCAUGACUUAUACAUGUUCCUGUAACUAUGAGAAUUAUGCAACUCCCGUUUACCGGAGGAACACUUUGGGUACUACCAAACGUCACAACGUAACUGGGUGAUUAUAAAGGAGUACUAUAGGUGUCUCCGAAGGUACAUGUUGAGUUGGCAUAUUUCGAGAUUAGGUUUUGUCACUCCGAUUGUCGGAGAGGUAUCUCUGGGCCCUCUCGGUAAUGCACAUCAUUAUAAGCCUUGCAAGCAAUGUAACCAAAUGAGUUGGUUACGGGAUGAUGCAUUACGGAACGAGUAAAGAGACUUGCCGGUAACGAGAUUGAACUAGGUAUUUGAUACCGACGAUCAAAUCUCGGGCAAGUAACAUACCGAUGACAAAGGGAACAACGUAUGUUGUUAUGCGGUUUGACCGUUAAAGAUCUUCGUAGAAUAUGUAGAAACCAAUAUGGGCAUCCAGGUUACGCUAUUGGUUAUUGACCGAGAAUAGUUCUAGGUCAUGUCUACAUAGUUCUCGAACUCGUAGGGUCCGCACGCUUAACAUUACGAUGACAAUUUUAUUAUGAGUUUAUAAGUUUUUGAUGUACCGAAGUUUGUUCGGAGUUCCGGAUGUGAUCACGGACAUGACGAGGAGUCUUGAAAUGGUCGAGACAUAAAGAUUGAUAUAUUGGAAGCCUAUGUUUGGACAUCGGAAAGGGUUCCGGGUGAAAUCGGGAUUUUACCGGAACACCGAGGGGUUACCGGAACCCUCCCGGGGGUUAACGGGCCUUAGUGGGCCAUGAGGGAAAAGAGGAGGGCCGGCCAGGGCAGGCCGCGCGCCCCCUCCCCCCUAGUCCGAAUAGGACAAGAAAGGGGGGGGGGGGGGCGCCCCCCUUUCCUCUUUCCCCUCCCCCCUUUCCUUCUCCACCAAGGCAAGAGGGGGGAGUCCUACUCCCGGUGGGAGUAGGACUCCUCCAGGCGCACCCCAAGGGGGCCGGCCGCACCUCCCCCUCCCUCCUUUAUAUACGGGGGCAGGGGGGCACCCCAUAACACACAAGUUGAUCUACGGAUCGUUCCUUAGCCGUGUGCGGUGCCCCCUCCACCAUAUUCCACCUCGGUCAUAUCGUCGCGGAGUUUAGGCGAAGCCCUGCGCCGGUAGAGCAUCAUCAUCGUCACCACGCCGUCGUGCUGACGGAACUCAUCCCCGAAGCUUUGCUGGAUCGGAGCCCGGGGAUCGUCAUCGAGCUGAACCUGUGCUGAACUCGGAGGUGUCGUACGUUCGGUACUUGGAUCGGUCGGAUCGUGAAGACGUACGACUACAUCAACCGCGUUGUGCUAACGCUUCCGCUUACGGUCUACGAGGGUACGUGGACAACACUCUCCCCUCUCGUUGCUAUGCCAUCACCAUGAUCUUGCGUGCACGUAGGAAAUUUUUUGAAAUUACUAUGUUCCCCUACAUCACUAUGGUCAACAGAGGUAGUCUGGAGCAGAUCUGCGACACACGGAUGACUUGUUGAAUCUUGGCGCUCCUGAAGGGCGGUGCGCCACCCUCCGACAUGAUGUAGCACCUAAAACAGGCCAAAGAAACAAAAUGCUAGUUUGUGAUUAGCUCAGACAGCCACUGAAAUUUCACCUAAACCCAAUCGCCCAUAUUCAAAACCCACUUAGAAUGCUUGUGAUCUGCUUCGUCAUUCAUAUAUAUUGACAUAGGAGGGCUACUAUAGUAGCUUUAACAUUUUUUUUCAAGCUACACAAUCAGCCAAGCACACAGGACCGCUAUUCACACUGUUUCAAACCCCCAAUCACGGNNNNNNNNNNNNNNNNNNNNNNNNNNNNNNNNNNNNNNNNNNNNNNNNNNNNNNNNNNNNNNNNNNNNNNNNNNNNNNNNNNNNNNNNNNNNNNNNNNNNNNNNNNNNNNNNNNNNNNNNNNNNNNNNNNNNNNNNNNNNNNNNNNNNNNNNNNNNNNNNNNNNNNNNNNNNNNNNNNNNNNNNNNNNNNNNNNNNNNNNNNNNNNNNNNNNNNNNNNNNNNNNNNNNNNNNNNNNNNNNNNNNNNNCAACCAAAAAGAAAAUGUCUAUGAUGACCAAGCCGUCCCACAAUUUUUCGUGUAACUGUGCGUGCAGAGGAGUGGCGGACUGUCAUAGAUGCCCGCCACAUGAAACUAUUUCAAAAUUUGGAUUUUUUUGCACGGCUUGCCAAAAUAUAGGUGUGGUGGGCGCUCACGUACUACCCGCCACUACUCUUUCAAUCCUGGGGGCUAAUUUGGAAGAGCCUACCUGUGAUGGGUAUUAGCUGAUGCCCUCCACUGGAGUGUCCUUAGCUAUGGCAGGUAUCUGGCCCUGCCCGCCACUAAUUUGAGUUCACCUAUAAGGCUUUCCUAGUAGUGUUGGGCAUCCCAAACCCGACUCAAAUGCCCGGGCCAAUGGCUCGGUCAGUAACCGGACAAAAGACACUAACUCAGAUGGGCGCCUCAAAGGGCCUCAAACGCCCUGCCUGACUUGCACCCAUCAUAUCCAACCCAAAUAUGGGGCGGACAUGGGAAGGCUAGGGCGCGUCCACCACGCCGGACCCGACAAGCCUACCGCACCCUAAAUUUCACCAAAUCUACCAAACCCUUCCCCCUCCUCCCGCCUCUCUCCAACCUUUUCCGCAUCUGAGCCCUCGUCGUCCGCCACCCUUGCUCCCCAUUCACGCCACCGGUCCCGAUCCGCCGCCCAAUAUGUCGUCCAGCCCGCUACCGACCGCCGCGACAGAGGCUGCAUCCACCUCAUCCAUCGUGUCUCGACCUCGACUUCAUCCUGCAAGCCGGAGAACAUCGCCCAGAGGGACCGGCGAUGGAAGCAUUGGCAAUUCAUGGGAAACGAGUGGGAGAAGGCAUGGGCCUCUUGUGAUGCCUGGGCUACAAAAAGGUCCUCCAUAUGGACGGACAUUUUUUCUGUGAGGGAGAACAAGAAAGAGGAGAGGUACAAGCUCAUGUUGGAGAGGGUGCGAAAGGAGAGGGUGGAUUGGGACCGGAAGAGGGUGGGGAAGAAGUUAGAAAUUGAGAGGGAGAAGAUCGAGUUGGAGAAGCAUGAGGUGGCGCUCAAAUGGGACCUCGAGAAGGCCAAGACAUUUGGAGAGAUUCAGCUUGAGAAUGAGAUGUUGCAAAUCGAACGGAAGAUGCGAAGAUAAUGUUGGCGGACGAAAGCCUCUUGUAUGAGCAUGCAAAGAAGAUCAAUGACCCUAGGGAGUACAAACCAGCGAGGUCGGCUACGGCAGUAGCAUCAAAUCGGGAAGGAUGCAUGCGGAGCAGGACGCGAGGAUGGCCUCAGAGCAGGCGGCAUGGAUGGCGUCCGGCGAGUGAUCCGGCCAGCCAACGAGUGGUCCUUCACGCUCGAACAUUGAUUACGUUUUGACAUGUCCGGAUUGUUGAACUAUCAUUUGUUUUUCUUUGUCGUAUUUAUUUUCAAUUGUUGAAUUGGAAAGAUUUCUAUCAUAUGAUCGAUGUGUAUGGAUUGCAUAGAUUUAAGGUUUUGCAUUUGAGUUGUGUUGAUGUGGGCCGUCCGCCGCUGUCCACGUAUGGGUGGGUGGGUGGGGGAUACGCAAGUCUGGCCGCAAAUGCUCUAAGAGGAGUUGCAAGGGGGGCGUGGCCAUUGUUUUGACUGCCGAGAGAUGGUAAGUCUGGCCAUUAUUAUGGCAAAAAGAAAGAAAGAUGGUAAGUCCGGCCUGUCGGCAGAGCUCGCCUCUAUAUCUGAUGAUAGCGUUUAAGGUCCGUAUGAGCAAAAAAAUCUGGCAGAUUAAUUACCUUCGCCGGCGUUCAGUCGCAACACCGGCAGCGAUACGUUUUUCAGUCGUGCCCUCGCCUUCCUCCUCCCGGAUCCACCCCCACAUACCAUAUCCAGCGUCGCAGAUAUCGGGCACGGCAGAUCAGAUCGGGAUCUGGCCCGGCGACCACCGACCAUGAGCAAGGAGUCGCCGUGCAACCUCCUGCUGCCGUUCUUGGACAAGAGCCGCCAUUGGACGGCCGAGGAGAUCAAGGCUGGCCUCGAGGGGAGCGACGACGGCGCAAAGGUCGACGCUCUGAAGCGGGCCAUCAUGCUCCACCUCAACGGCGACGGCCACACGAUCCCCCACCUCCUCGUCACCGUCCUCCGCUGCGUCCUCCCCUCCAAGGAACAUACCAUCCAGAGGCUCCUCCUCGUCUACCUCGAGGUCGUGGACAAGCGGGACCAAGCCUCCGGCGAGGUCAUCCCGGAGAUGAUCCUCGUCUCCCACCACCUCCGCAGCAACCUCCAGCACCCCAACGAAUACAUCCGCGGCGUCACGCUGCGGUUCCUCUGCCGGCUCCGCGAGCCGGAGCUCCUCCAGCCGAUGGUGCCCGCCAUUAUCAACAAUCUGAAGCACCCGCACCCUUUCGUCCGCCGACACGCGCUCUCGGCAAUCUCUGCCAUCUUCCGCCUGCCUUGUGGCGAGCAGCUCAUUCCAAACGCGCCUUACCUUGUGGAGCGUGCCCUCGCCAUGGAACAGGACCCGAGCGCACGGAGGAACGCGUUCCUCAUGCUCUGCGACUGCUCGCCAGAUCAUGCCAACGCUUACCUGCUCGGCAAUGCUGCCCGCGUCGCCGAGUGGCCCGUUGCCCUCCAGAUGGCCGCCCUCGAUUUCGUUCGCAAAGCCUACUCUCCUCGCUUCAGAACCACGUACAUUGAGAUCAUCAUGUCCCUCAUCUCGCCAUGGAGCAAAACUGCUGCCGUUGUAGUAUAUGACUGCGCACGCACACUCUUGUCUGUCUCCCGUGCACCGACGUUGAUCCGCGCCGCUGCAGAAGCCUACUUCCGGCUGCUCACCUCAGAGAGUGACAACAAGGUGAGGCUCGUUAUCUUGGACCGCCUGCGCGAGCUGUGCACCGCACACCGUCAAAUCAUGGUCUCUUUUGUCAUGGACAUCCUGCACUCUCUUGCAACCGCUGAUGCUGAUCUGGUUAUCAGAAGUAAGGUUCUGGAUUUUGUACUUGGUUUGCUCACCACACAAAAUGUGGAGAAGGUCGUUUUAUACCUCAAGAAGGAGGUUUUUAAGACAAUGGACAGUGUCCUCGAGAUGGCCUAUGAAUACUACCUGAUGCUGGUGCAGACGAUCCAUGCCUGUGCGGUAGAGUGCCCAGAAGUGGCUGGAUUGGUGAUGCACAUCCUCUUGGAUUUCCUUGUGUAUGGUGGUGACAUUGCUUCAGCUUCGGAUGUCAUUAUGUUUGUGCGUGACGUCAUCGGGACCGAUCCUUUGCUGCGUGUGUCAGUGAUAGAGAGGCUGAUUGUUUUGUUAAGUUUUAUCCAGGAUUCCUUCAUCUGUUCAUGUGUUCUCUGGAUCCUUGGGGAGUACUGGUUUUCGCUAUCUGAGGUCCAGACAGCCAUUUCUACCAUUAUGCAGACACUUGGAGAUCAGCCCUUCAAUGAUGUCUCUGAGAAAAGCGAUGAAUCUAUUUUUGAUUGCGCUCCUACAAGUGGGUUGUUGGAUUGCACGCAUAGUCUCAGACUUCUCAUUAUGUCAGGUGAUUUUCACUUGGCCGCCGCUGUUGCGUGUACGUUGACCAAGCUUGUGCUGAGGCUGGAGGAGGUUGAGCCAUCUAAUAAGGUUGAAGCAAACAAGGCAUCAGCAGAGUCUUUGCUGAUGAUGGUGUCCAUGCUGCAGCUGGGGAACUCCUCUUACCUUCCCCACCCUAUUGACAAUGACUUAUAUGACAGAAUCGUGUUCUGUGUUAGGUUGCUUUGUAGCACUGAUAAUGAUCAUGAAAGGAAGGUUUGGUUGAUGUCAUGCCACCAGAGCUUCACAAAGAUGCUUGAUGAGAAGCAAUCUAGAAAGAAUGAAAAGAUGAAGGUCGACGCACAGAAUGCCCAUGCACAUCCUGAUGAUUCCAUUGAUUUCUACCACCUGAUGAGCAGGAGGGGAAUGGGCCAACUUGAGUUGGAAGAUGAGUUCCGAGAUGAUUUAAAGGCUGCAACUGGUGAACUCAACGAUGCAGAUGAUGCAGAUAAUUUGAACCGCCCUAUUCAAUUGACAGGGUUCAGUGAUCCUUUGUAUGCUGAAGGAUUUGUUACCGUUAAUCAGUACCAUGAUACUGUACUUGAUAUUACAGUCAUAAACCGGACAAAAGAAACAAUGCACAACUUGUGUUUGGAGUUUGCAACAGCAUGUAAAAAUGCAGUACUUGAGCGCUCUGGAAAGUACACUGUGGCUCCCAGCGCAAGCGAGCAAAUCCAGGCUAUGAUCAAGGUUUCUUCAUCAAAUGUUGGAAUUAUAAUUACUCGCAUCGUUUACGAGACUUCAGAUGAAAUGGGGACUUCAGAGGUGAUCCUAAAAGAUAUGAGCAUUAGCAUUGCGGAUUACAUGACACCUGCUACAUGCACUGACGUAGCUUUCCGGAGGAUGUGGGCUGAGUGUCCAUGGAAAGUUAAGUUGAAGGUCAAUACCUUGCUUCAUGAUGAGAAGGCGUUUCUGAAUUUUAUAAUCAAGUCAACAAACAUGAACUGCCUAACACCAUUGUCUGCGCUUGAUGGGGACUGUGGGUUUGUUGCUGCCAAUCUCUACGCCAAGAGUGUGUUUGGCGAGGAUGCUUUGGUGAACAUCAGCAUAGCCCAACUGUAAGCUCACUGGCCACAUCGCUAUACGUGGCUAUGUCCAAGGACUCGUUCUUAAUUUGGCACAUAAACUUAUCCUUGAACAGCAGGCUACAGUUAACGCAGCCAUGAGCGUGUGAGACGCGCCACGAGUAUUGUUGUUACCCAUACAACUAAGUGUUCAGUGUUUCUUUUUUAACACAGUUUUCAGUGUUCCGCAGAAAAAAAUUCGGUAUUAUGAGAACUCCGUAUUUUAUUCAUCGUCGUGAAUAUUACAAGUACAUGGAUGUUAUAUGCUCCCGUAGGAGUUUGCCUAUCUGUUUGCAGAGUCCAUCAUGUAGAAUACAGCGGUGCAAAAUAAAUUGAAGUUUGACACUUCGAUAUAAGAGAUAUAAUCACUAGAAGGAAUAAACAUGAGGAGGCUUAAGGGCAUCUCCAACAUUGACCCACAAAUUUUCUCCGCCAUCCGUCCGCGGACCAGGGACCAGUCCGCGGACACUAAUGCCGGAUGCCGCCAUCCAACACUGUCCGCAUACAUUUCAACAAUAAUUCGAACUAACCGGAUAAAAUUCGUUCAAAUACGGUGGAAUUCAUUCAAGUUUGGUUACUAUUUACAUAAAAGGUCAAUAUUUCGACCGUUUAACAAAAAACUAGAAAACAACCUAAACCCUAUAUCGGACGACCACCUCUUACGCGUGACCACCCUGCAAUGCCGCACCGCCGUCGGUGCCACCGUUGUCGUCGUCGUGGUCCCUCCACCAGUGGAACGUCACUGAAGGGCCGCGACAGCCUUGUCCGGCGGCCGCCUGCCGCUCUAUGAGGAGCCGGUCCGCCUCCUGCUACACGGUGUUGACUGCCGCCGUGGCCACUGCCGACGUUGCCUUGGGAGCCCUGGCAGCGCCCUUGCCGUGGCCGGCAUUGGCGGAGCACUCGCUAAGCGACCACUCCUCGCCAAUCUUGGCGAGCUCGCCUUCAAGGCGGCGGCCAUCUCCCCGGUGGCACGGAGUGGUCAAGCGCCCACACGGAAGGAAGUUCAGGAUCAUUGCAGACCCAACCUGGUGCCAUGUUGCUCUUGGGGAACGCAAAGCAAUGAGACAGGCAUUGCGUCGAUCGUACCACGCCUUCUUCCUUGCCUGCUCCGCCACGGAUACAGUGGCCCUCGAGCCCAAGCCACCGCCUUAACCGCCUCCUCCGAGGUAGUGCAGGAGGCGACCCCGCGCCUUCUUGGUCGCGGAGGCAACUCCUCCAUGACGGCGAGGCGAUGGCGGCACGGCGGCAACGAGGGCGCGUCCAUGCACCCGUACCGGCUGCGCGGUGGGAUACCAGCUCGUCCUUGACCCGACGUCCGAUCUGAACGCCAAGGUGGUGCGUGGGCGACGAAGGCUCCUCCUUGAUGCAGCGCCCGAUCUAGAUGUCACGGUUGCGCUCGGGCGAGGCCGGCUCCUCCUUGCGGUGGUUUGGCAGGGACGGUUGCUCCUGCUUGACGUGUGUCGGCGAUGGUGACUACAGGCCCAUGCAACAGAUCGAACGUUCCGUCAUUACCUCGAUCUGACGGACGAAAUCUUCGUCCGUCACAGUGGCUUCCUUGAGAAGUCGAGGCGGCUGCUGCAGCAUCUGGUCCUCCUCGUCACCGGAGGAGAUAACUCGCUCCUCCUUGGGGGAGGAGUCGGCCAACAUGGAAGCCGGACAACCCAGAGAGCGUCGGCAUCCCAAGAACCACCGGACGAGGAGUUUCCACCGACUCUGCUUGCCGAUGCAGAGCACCAUGAUUUCAGCAUCGCCGCCGCCUGACUCGGAGAGGAGGAGCGGCUCGGGCACGGAGACAGGGGAGGGGAGGGGGAGUGUGCCUCCAUGCGUCGCCAACGCACGGCUUAAAUAGCUGCUGCCAGGCCAUGCAAAGGGGCGGUCAGCCCACUUCAAUGCGGCGCAGCAGCUGCAUACAAACCGAUGGCCUGUCCGAGCUCGUCCAUGAGUGCUAGAGCCAUCACAGAUGCAUGGCUCUGCCCAAUCGCUGCAAAUCUGGUAUCCUCGGGCCCCCAUUGUCGAUUGACGAGCAUAAAACAGACCAACUGACCUUGCAUUUGCCGCCGGUGAUCUCUUCUUCUUGGGCCCAUAGAAAUUAUCAUCUAACCCUGUCAACUUCAGUAUAAAACUUCUUUGGCACUUUGAGCACUGUCAUGGCAAAAGUUGGGAGCGUGCUGAGGACACUCCUUACGAGCACUCUUCUUCCCGCGAUUGACAUGAGCUUUCCCUUCCAGACCGCAAGCCUUCCCUUGAUACGGACGAGGAUGGACUGGAUAUGGACAAGGCGCAGCCUGGAGAGGGUUAUUGGGAGGCAAGGUAUCGGAGAGAGAAAUCCACUGCGUGACCGCCAAAAUUCUGAAGAAUUUGCUGUAGGUUGAUCUCAUUAAAUCAGAUCGCCAUUCUUGUGGAUUUUGUUGGGUUAACUUUCAGGCCGUUGCAUCGCCAAAAUCUUGCAGGAUGUUUAGGAGUGUAUCAAUCUUUGCCUUGAUCAGGUUAGCGAAGAUAACCACAUCAUCAGCGUAAAGGCUGAUUCUCAAGGAAAUAUCUCUGCCAGCCAGUGGGGCAAUCUAUCUAUCUAUCUAUCUAUACCUCUAUCUAUCUAUCUAUCUAUCUAUCUAUAUCUAUCUAUCUAUCUAUACCUAUACUAAUUCUAGACUUCCAAGAAAUUCCUACGUUAAUUAGAUUUUACGAACCGUUAAUCUGGUGGGACCGUGUUUUUACGGUAGAGAUCCACCCAUGUAAGAUUUUUUUUUCUAUCAAUGGUUUUUUUUGACGUAAUCGUCUCUUAAUUGUCCAUCCAAUCUCUACAUUAGAACCGUUGGAUGAUUUUUUUUCUAUCAAUGGUCUUUUUUUUGACGUAAUCGUCUCUUAAUUGUCCAUCCAAUCUCUACAUUAGAACCGUUGGAUGAGGUACAUGAAAGAGUCAGAUCCACCCAUGUAAGAUUUUUUUUCUAUCAAUGGUCUUUUUUUUUGACAUAAUCGUCUCUUAAUUGUCCAUCCAAUCUCUACAUUAGGUAAUUAGAACCGUUGGAUGAGGUACAUGAAAGAGUCCACUACUACUGUCCCACGUGCAGCCCUAUUCAAUAGUCCAUUGCACCAACGAGUCUUCAAUGUGGCAUCUGACGUCUAUAAUCCCGUAGAAUCGCUCAUCCUCCCUUCACCUCUUCCACGCAUCAAUCCAGGAGACGAUGCAAGCAACCUCUGCCCGUUUUCUUCCUCUUCAACCUUUGAAUUCAUGAUUAUUUGACGCCCAGAAUCCAUGUUGGUUGCUAAAUCUUCUGAGAUAGAUGCGAAAAGGGUUCAAUUUUUCCCCUCGCAAAAAAAAAGGGGUUCAAUUUUUCUUCUUGAAAUUAAAGGCUCAGAAAACCUUUCUUGAAUAACAGUUUUCAUGAAAAAAACAUCCCGGGAUAGAUGACAAAAGAGAUUGUCCAUCCCAUCUACACGUUAGUUAACAAGGUAAAGAAAAAAAAAACUUCUGGUAUAGAUGCAAAAAGGAUUCCUCCCUCGAUCUCCUAUUCGCAUGUUUCUCCCUUACCUCGCUUCUUCCCUUCCUCCGCUCCUAUGAAACCACAGGCAGUGGGUAUCAUCGAACGAUCCUAGCGCAGGUCACCCGCAUCAGUCUCGGCAUGCCAUCCGUAUUGCUGUCCUCAACCUGAUUCUCUAUUAAUAACUAGAGCUAGGGCAUCUCCCCGAUUAUCUUCAAGAAUCCAAUCUUGGAAUCUCCAGCUUCGACGAUCCAAUCCGUCAUCUUUCUCUAGCCCUGAUUAAUAAAACAAUCUCAUUAUAGUUGUGGCCGCAGAGUAGGAAAUCAAUCCACAACAGUUUGAACCAGACGGGACACAGCGAGUACGAAAUCCAUCCACUACAUGGCUGUUCGAGAUCGUUGGCUCGGCCAUUAGCCCAUUACUACGGCGGACUACGGCAGAUAACUCAAUAAAUAUACGACUAGAUUUCCUGAUAUUUUCGCUAGACCAUUGUUUUUUUAAUGUAAGUGCAGUAAAUUGUCUAGAUUUGGAUCAUCUGCUACAAAAUUAAUCAGUUUUGUAUCUAUGAGCAUUGAGCUGCUGCUAAUUCCGCUAUACCAUGUAGGGGGCAGAGAAGAACCAGGUGAGGUAUUUUGCAUCACCCACGACAGUUACAAUGAAUACCUGUUGUACGUCAACAAUAUUGAAACACUGGCCUGUUAUACCUGUUACACUGCCAUAUUAAUAGCUCAAUUUACAUUUGAUUAUCCAUGUUGUUCUAUGUUUGCCAAAAUAGUUAAUUACUUGAUGCUUCGCAUGUACAGGAUUUUAAAAUUUUAAACGUCGUUUCGCAGGUCUAAACUCAUGUUUUGAAAGAACAGAGGAUGUAUUUUUCUCAUACAAAGUUUUAUGCCUUUUAUGUUUUGAAAGAAUAGAGGAUUACCUUUUUCCAUACAAAGGCUCAUGGCUUUAGUUUACAUAAGUUAUACUCCGUUUCUUGCUAUAUCAUGAGUAAGUCUUUAAUAGCUGUCGGUCUUAUGCAAAUUCUGCACCUGAAUUAAAGAAUUUGUGGUGAUUAAUCAUGGUCAGUGCGUACCACAUGGUGUGUUCAGUUUCUGCAGUUCAGAGGAACCGUGAGCAUGUAUGUCCAUCUUUCUUUCAAUUUUGAAUUCAGUGCUCCUGCUAGCUAGCUGUCUAUAUAUACUGCAUAGGAAGUGGAUUUUUCAGGACUAACUCCUUUUCCCAAUAACCACAAAUUCCCACGUUAAUUAGCAUGCUGUGCUAAAUAACUUAGCCAUUUCACUGAAUACGUGUGCUAAAUUAUGCUUCCCAGCAGAAAGUAUAUUAGUACCCUAUAUUUUAGUCUGGACUAGGAUCUCAUGAGGAAGUGGGAGAGGUGCCACUAACUAAAGUUCGUAUUGCUCCUCUCUCACACAGAUUAUAUACGCACUACAUGAUGUAAGAAAUACGUAUUUUUCCUCAUUUUGAUAUGCUCAACUGUAGAAACAAUCACAAAAAUUGUUGAUAUGUAUGCAAUAAUUCUGAUCAACAGUAAGACCUCUAUAAUAGGAUUACAUAAUCAAAGACUGCUUCUUGAAAGCCUCAAAGAACUGGUAACAGAACUUAGGUUAACAAUUUAUCUAUCUAUCUAUCUAUCUAUCUAUAACAACACUUAACUACAGACAUGCAUCCCUUGAGCUCCCAAUUUAAUCCACAUAAUUAAAAAUAUAUUUACCGUUUGAUCAAUGUAAAUGAUCUAUACCGUAUGAUCUAUGUUAGUAUUGCGCUGGAAAAAGACUUAACUUGCAUGUAAUUACACAUUAAUCCGAGAAAUAAUAAAAAGUCUGGACCAUCUAUUUGUUCAUACAGUUAGUUUAACCAGACACAUUGAUCUACUUCUUUGCCGAUCUAUAACAAAUCGUACUGCAUACGUAUUACUGUCCUGACAGUCCUUUUAUUUUGGCAUGUGCUCGGCCAGAGUCCUAUGAUACACUAUGAUCUUUUUUGCAUCAUCUUCAUGUAAUGUUGAUUGAGGCUAGCCCACUAGGGUUUUCAUGUCUCGCCAAACGUUUCAGCAAUGGCUGACAUAGAGGGAAGGUGCUAGCCUGCUCCGUAGGAGUUGUUCAAUGUUACUGCCACGUAGGAGCAGUAUUCACAAAGGGGUGCCGAUCUGCAACACGUCAGCACCAGGUACGAAGACAGCCUGGACAACAGUGUUGUUGAGCUAUGGUGGAUGUUUCUUGCGUGCAGGUUCUACCAGCUCAAGGAAUUCUUCGAUAAGAUCAUGAAUUAGGGUAAAGAUAACCAUGUCAUGAUAGUUCAAUCGGAUCUUGAAAUUUUUAUUCUCUUAUUUUUGAUGAUUUAUAUUUGGUUUGCAUAGGGAAGUGCGCCGAUCUAUGAUCUAUCUGGAGCUACAGUUUCAAUUGCAUCCCAUGCCCGAGACGUUCCGGGCCGGUGUCGAUUUUCAUGCCCGCCUCUCAUGAAGGCUUGCAUUUGCCUUAGUCUGCCGCCUUGAUAUGGUGCAAUCGUAAUCUGGAUCCACGUCUACCUCUAAACCCUAAUAGCUUGAUACUAUAUCGCUGCAAUAUAUAAUUAUUCACCAUCGCCGCCCAUCUGUCAAUCUUACAGCCUGAUAACCCAGUGCCUACUUCUUUUCUGCAGCUUUCUGCGUGCUUUGCCCAUGUGCCAUGCAUUCCCAGUGUGUCAAGAUGCAAGUGUCGUGAGCUUUCAAUGCAUGGUCUUACUUCUGCUCUCACACAACUCAUCUUUGGGUCGUGUCCAGUGACGUAUAAGCAAUUUUAUCUCAUUACAAUAUAACUAAAGGACUGGAUUGUAGUCUAAAUUUUUGUGGUGCAUUUGUUUUUAUGAUUUUAGGCUAGAUUUGGUAGAACAAUUUAGUCAUAUGGCAGCUCUUCUUCCUUUUCUAUUUCAUGUGAGGUCAACUAAUUAAUAGAAUGAAAAAUAAGACAUUUCUCUAUAUACAUGGCACCACUUGGUAGAAAUGAUAUUAUUUUGUUGGGGAGAUGUAUAUGAUAUACUAUGCGACAAUUCAUGAGUUAACUGAAAUUAUUGUACAAAUUGUUUCUCUCAUUUGGCCAUAAGAGCCUUUUUUUACAACGUUGGCAUGUUGUUCUCAUUUUCUACACUUCUGCAAGAAUGCCAACAUGGUGUUGAUAUUUCUUUGCAAAUGAUACUAAAGUCUACGGAUCAUUUUUUUCAUAUCAGAAUGUGAUGUCAUGGUUCAUAAUAAUAUAUUCCCCAAAAAAAUUCAAAUUCACCUGAAUGAGUUUGCUAAAUGUGUCUACAGAUUAUGUCUUCUAUAUAACCAUAUUACUAAGUUUCUUAGAAAAUUGAUCAAUAUGGCAUUCGUCUGACUGAUAAAUUAUUAACCGGGUACUUUUACUGAUAUUAAAACAUGUCUAUUUUUUGUUUUAUGCAUGCAAUAUUUGGUAAACAAUGACAUUUUGUUCCUGCUAUUUGAUUUGUAAGCGUAGCUUGAAGUGCUUUGUAUCAUACUACCUAAGUAGCUUGGCAUGUUCUACCUACCAAGUGCGUUCCACUUAGACAUCAUCAUGUCGUGCAAGUAGAUAACACAAACUGGUCCCUUAUUUACUGCAAUACCCUUUUAUUUCCGUGAUUAGCAUCAUCGGAAUGGCGUGGGACUGUUGGGCAGCUAUAACUCGAUAGAUUUGAUAACUUUGUGUGCAUAUGCAUAUUCAAGUAUGUUUAAUAAUGAUCCACCUCUCAAUGGAGUGCUAAUUUUGAGAGAACCGAGGUGGAAUAUGCUGAAGGAACACUUGCGGUGCAGUGCUGCCAAAUAGCCUUCUUCUGGAUAAUUGAGUAGUUCGGUUUUACCAUUACAUUUAUUUUUGAACUUAGAGUACAUAAUUAAGAUCAUUAGUUUCGUCUCAAGUGCUUUCAAUGUUAAAUGUGAAAAAUCACUUGAUAAUUAUUGAAAAUACAAAAUAAUGAAGUGAUAUAGCUUUCAUCCAUUUUAUGUAAUUAGUAUAACAAUCAUCAAUUCAAGAAUUUAUUAUCUUGGUAAUAUAUAAAUUUCAUAAGAGUUAUGAAAUAGUUGGACCGUAGUUGUAAAUAACUAGCCCGUGCGAACGCACGGGUUGCCGACUAGUGAGGUCUAAUUCAGUAGCUCUUUGCAGUAAACGGUGGAGUGGAUCAAUGGCGAUGAUGAAUAGGAGUGGCGAUAAGGGAUCGCCCUGACGAAGCCCUCUUUGGUGCGUUAUUGUUUGACCAGGGGAGCCAUUUAGCAGGAAGGGCGUAUUGGGACAUAAUAAAAUUAACUUAAUUAAUAAAUAUGAAGUAACACUCAAGCAUUUACACACAUUACAAUACCCCAUCUCGAUGACGUCCUUAGUGGUGAAGUCAAGGGAUCUGUGUGAACCUUAUUCCAUCGUCUCCUUUUUGAUGGAUCUGGUGGUGUUUGUUGUUUCUAUGGUGGAUCUCAUCACGUGUGGUGCCGUCUUUGUUUGGGAGAAGAUGAAGGUCCAAGAACAAGGUUGGAGGCUUGUGGGUGGUAGUUCUGGUGUUUUGCCUCGACGACAUCGACGGUAGGCAGCGGAUCUCGGUUUCGAGGAGCACGGGGAUGAUCCCCAGUCGACGCGCCACAGCGACAAUGGCCUUGCCAGCGGUAGGUCUUUUCUUCGGCUCACAAAGCCUUUAUGGGCGAUGGUGUUUCUUCUUCUCCGAAGAUGGCAAGUGGCAACGAUGGCUAUUGCAGAUUUCUACUUCAAUGGAGUUUUCUUGCAAUUGUUUCUGGAUAUGUGUCCUCUCUCUUUUUCUAUCGUGGUUUUCAUGAUUUCGUGUUGUAAUAUGACGCAUGUUUAAUUGUAUAUGAAAUUUCGCAAUAUAGACAUGUAAGAUAAGUAAUAGUAUACUCUCUCAACCUCCGCGCUCAACGAUGCACGCAUUGAUUAAAUUGACAUGGUCACGUAGACAAAACGAACUAAGGCACAAAAACAGUAGCUUCCAACACAAGCUCGGUCCUACGACGAGCUGUGAUUCCAUAUGCUUCACUCAUAUCAAGCUUCUCCGGGUUCCCACCAUCGAGAAGCUUCCAGUCGAAGUGAUAGAGAAGGCUCGCAAGAGCCAUCUCGAUGUUUGACACUCCAAACGUCAUAUCGAGGCACAUUCUCCGUCCAGUGCCGCCAGGGAGGAAUCUGAAGUCCGUACCACCAUAAUCAACCUUUUCACCGUCAAACCUCUUGGGCAUGAACUCACUUGCGUUAGUCCAGCUAUUCUUGUCCCUACCGAUUGCCGACACAUUCACGAAUACUGUUGUGCCUUGUGGAAUAUCAUAGUCCAUGACCUUUGUUUGCUCAGUGCAAAGCCUCGGCAUCAGCACCGGCACCGGUAGAUGCAACCUGAAGGUCUCCUUGAUGACCAUCUGCAGGUAGCAGCCAGCCAUCGAUGUCGGCCUCAGUCACAUCGGUCUUGCCGUGGAGGACUCGCCGAACUUCAGAUUGUGCGGCGGCCAUUAUGUGUGGGCUCCUCAUCAGCUCGGACAUUGCCAGAAUUGUUGUUGUGGCUGUCGUCUCCGAUCCUGCAGCGAAAAGGUCCUGGUGACACACACGUAAAUAUGUGAGACUGAAAUAUCAUAUAGCAAGCAAAAGGUGGUAGCUAGCAGGGUUCAAAAUUUCAGUAAAAUUUCCAAAUUUCUGGUAAUUAUGGUGGGUAAUGGAAUAUUUCUAACAUUGAAAUGUUCAAUGUUACUGCCACGUAGGAGCAGUAUUCACAAAGGGGUGCGAUCUGCAACACGUCAGCACCAGGUACGAAGACAGCCUGGAUAACAGUGUUGUUGAGCUAUGGUGGAUGUUUCUUGCGUGCAGGUUCUACCAGCUCAAGGAAUUCUUAGAUAAGAUCAUGAAUUAGGGUAAAGAGAACCAUGUCAUGAUAGUUGGAUCGGAUCUUGAAAUUUUUAUUCUCUUUUUUUUGAUGAUUUAUAUUUGGUUUGCAUAGGGGUGUGCGCCGAUCUAUGAUCUAUCUGGAGCUACAGUUUCAAUUGCAUCCCAUGCCCGAGACGUUCCGGGCCGGUGUCGAUUUUCAUGCCCGCCUCUCAUGAAGGCUUGCAUUUGCCUUAGUCUGCCGCCUUGAUAUGGUGCAAUCGUAAUCUGGAUCCACGUUUACCUCUAAACCCUGAUAGCUUGAUACUAUAUCGCUGCAAUAUAUAAUUAUUCACCAUCGCCGCCCAUCUGUCAAUCUUACAGCCUGAUAACCCAGUGCCUACUUCUUUUCUGCAGAUUUGUGCGUGCUUUGCCCAGGUGCCAUGCAUUCCCAGUGUGUCAAGAUGCAAGUGUCGUGAGCUUUCAAUGCAUGGUCUUACUUCUGCUCUCACACAACUCAUCUUUGGGUCAUGUCCAGUGACGUAUAAGCAAUUUUAUCUCAUUACAAUAUAACUAAAGGACUGGAUUGUAGUCUAAAUUUUGUGGUGCAUUUGUUUUUAUGAUUUUAGGCUAGAUUUGGUAGAACAAUUUAGUCAUAUGGCAGCUCUUCUUCCUUUUCUAUUUCAUGUGAGGUCAACUAAUUAAUAGAAUGAAAAAUAAGACAUUUCUCUAUAUACAUGGCACCACUUGGUAGAAAUGAUAUUCUUUUGUUGGGGAGAUGUAUAUGAUAUACUAUGCGACAAUUCAUGAGUUAACUGAAAUUAUUGUACAAAUUGUUUCUCUCAUUUGGCCAUAAGAGCCUUUUUUACAACAUUGGCAUGUUGUUCUCAUUUUCUACACUUCUGAAAGAAUGCCAACAUGGUGUUGAUAUUUCUUUGCAAAUGAUACUAAAGUCUACGGAUCAUUUUUUUUUCAUAUCAGAAUGUGAUGUCAUGGUUCAUAAUAAUAUAUUCCCCAAAAAAAUCAAAUUCACCUGAAUGAGUUUGCUAAAUUUGUCUACAGAUUAUGUCUUCUAUAUAACCAUAUUACUAAGUUUCUUAGAAAAUUGAUCAAUAUGGCAUUCGUCUGACUGAUAAAUUAUUAACCGGGUACUUUUACUGAUAUUAAAACAUUUCUAUUUUUUUGUUUUAUGCAUGCAAUAUUUGGUAAACAAUGACAUUUUGUUCCUGCUAUUUGAUUUGUAAGCGUAGCUUGAAGUGCUUUGUAUCAUACUACCUAAGUAGCUUGGCAUGUUCUACCUACCAAGUGCAUUCCACUUAGACAUCAUCAUGUCGUGCAAGUAGAUAACACAAAGUGGUCCCUUAUUUACUGCAAUACCCUUUUAUUUUCGUGAUUAGCAUCAUCGGAAUGGCGUGGGACUGUUGGGCAGCUAUAACUCGAUAGAUUGAUAACUUUGUGUGCAUAUGCAUAUUCAAGUAUGUUUAAUAAUGAUCCACCUCUCAAUGGAGUGCUAAUUUUGAGAGAACCGAGGUGGAAUAUGCCGAAGGAACACUUGCGGUGCAGUGCUGCCAAAUAGCCUUCUUCUGGAUAAUUGAGUAGUUCGGUUUUACCAUUACAUUUAUUUUUGAACUUAGAGUAUAUAAUUAAGAUCAUUAGUUUCGUCUCAAGUGCUUUCAAUGUUAAAUGUGAAAAAUCACUUGAUAAUUAUUGAAAAUACAAAAUAAUGAAGUGAUAUAGCUCUCAUCCAUUUUAUGUAAUUAGUAUAACAAUCAUCAAUUCAAGAAUUUAUUAUCUUGGUAAUAUAUAAAUUUCAUAAGAGUUAUGAAAUAGUUGGACCGUAGUUGUAAAUAACUAGCCCGUGCGAACGCACGGGUUGCCGACUAGUGAGGUCUAAUUCAGUAGCUCUCUGCAGUAAACGGUGGAGUGGAUCAAUGGCGAUGAUGAAUAGGAGUGGCGAUAAGGGAUCGCCCUGACGAAGCCCUCUUUGGUGCGUUAUUGUUUGACCAGGGGAGCCAUUUAGCAGGAAGGGCGUAUUGGGACAUAAUAAAAUUAACUUAAUUGAUAAAUAUGAAGUAACACUCAAGCAUUUACACACAUUACAAUACCCCAUCUCGAUGACGUCCUUAGUGGUGAAGUCAAGGGAUCUGUGUGAACCUUUAUUCCAUCGUCUCCUUUUUGAUGGAUCUGGUGGUAUUUGUUGUUUCUAUGGUGGAUCUCAUCAGGUGUGGUGCCGUCUUUGUUUGGGAGAAGAUGAAGGUCCAAGAACAAGGUUGGAGGCUUUUGGGUGGUAGUUCUGGUGUUUUGCCUCGACGACAUCGACGGUAGGCAGCGGAUCUGGGUUUCGAGGAGCACGGGGAUGAUCCCCAGUCGACGCGCCACAGCGACGCUGGCAAGGACUUUUCUUCGGCUCACAAAGCCUUUAUGGGCGAUGGUGUUUCUUAUUCUCCGAAGUUGGCAAGUGGCAACGAUGGCUAUUGCAGAUUUCUACUUCAAUGGAGUUUUCUUGCAAUUGUUUCUGGACAUGUGUCCUCUCUCUUUUUCUAUCGUGGUUUUCAAGAUUUCGUGUUGUAAUAUGAUGCAUGUUUAAUUGUAUAUGAAAUUUCACAAUAUAGACAUGUAAGAUAAGUAAUAGUAUACUCUCUCAACCUCUGCGCUCAACUAUGCACGCAUUGAUUAAAUUGACAUGGUCACGUAGACAAACCGAACUAAGGUACAAAAACAGUAGCUUCCAACACAAGCUCGGUCCUAAGACGAGCUGUGAUUCCAUAUGCUUGACUCAUAUCAAGCUUCUCCGGGUUCCCACCAUCGAGAAGCUUCCAGUCGAAGUGAUAGAGAAGGCUCGCAAGAGCCAUCUCGAUGUUUGACACUCCAAACGUCAUAUCGAGGCACAUUCUCCGUCUAGUGCCGCCAGGGAGGAAUCUGAAGUCCGUACCACCAUAAUCAACCUUUUCACCGUCAAACCUCUUGGGCAUGAACUCACUUGCGUUAGUCCAGCUAUUCUCGUCCCUACCGAUUGCUGACACAUUCACGAAUACUGUUGUGCCUUGUGGAAUAUCAUAGUCCAUGACCUUUGUUUGCUCAGUGCAAAGCCUCGGCAUCAGCAACGGCACCGGUGGAUGCAACCUGAAGGUCUCCUUCAUGACCAUCUGCAGGUAGCAGCCGGCCAUCGAUGUCGGCCUCAGUCACAUCGGUCUUGCCGUGGAGGACUCGCCGAACUUCAGAUUGUGCGGCGGCCAUUAUGUGUGGGCUCCUCAUCAGCUAGGACAUUGCCAGAAUUGUUGUUGUGGCUGUCGUCUCCGAUCCUGCAGCGAAAAGGUCCUUGUGACACACACGUAAAUAUGUGAGACUGAAAUAUCAUAUAGCAAGCAAAAGGUGGUAGCUAGCACGGUUCAAAAUUUCAGUAAAAUUUCCAAAUUUCUGGUAAUUAUGGUGGGUAAUGGAAUAUUUCUAACAUUGAAAUGUUCAAUGUUACUGCCACGUAGGAGCAGUAUUCACAAAGGGGUGCCGAUCUGCAACACGUCAGCACCAGGUACGAAGACAGCCUGGAUAACAGUGUUGUUGAGCUAUGGUGGAUGUUUCUUGCGUGCAGGUUCUACCAGCUCAAGGAAUUCUUCGAUAAGAUCAUGAAUUAGGGUAGAGAUAACCAUGUCAUGAUAGUUGGAUCGGAUCUUGAAAUUUUUAUUCUCUUAUUUUUGAUGAUUUAUAUUUGGUUUGCAUAGGGGUGUGCGCCGAUCUAUGAUCUAUCUGGAGCUACAGUUUCAAUUGCAUCCCAUGCCCGAGACGUUCCGGGCCGGUGUCGAUUGUCAUGCCCGCCUCUCAUGAAGGCUUGCAUUUGCCUUAGUUUGCCGCCUUGAUAUGGUGCAAUUGUAAUCUGGAUCCACGUCUACCUCUAAACCCUGAUAGCUUGAUACUAUAUCGCUACAAUAUAUAAUUAUUCACCAUCGCCGCCCAUCUGUCAAUCUUAUAGCCUGAUAACCCAGUGCCUACUUCUUUUCUGCAGCUUUGUGCGUGCUUUGCCCAUGUGCCAUGCAUUCCCAGUGUGUCAAGAUGCAAGUGUCGUGAGCUUUCAAUGCAUGGUCUUACUUCUGCUCUCACACAACUCAUCUUUGGGUCGUGUCCAGUGACGUAUAAGCAAUUUUAUCUCAUUACAAUAUAACUAAAGGACUGGAUUGUAGUCUAAAUUUUGUGGUGCAUUUGUUUUUAUGAUUUUAGGCUAGAUUUGGUAGAACAAUUUAGUCAUAUGGCAACUCUUCUUCCUUUUCUAUUUCAUGUGAGGUCAACUAAUUAAUAGAAUAAAAAUAAGACAUUUCUCUAUAUACAUGGCACCACUUGGUAGAAAUGAUAUUCUUUUGUUGGGGAGAUGUAUAUGAUAUACUAUGCGACAAUUCAUGAGUUAACUGAAAUUAUUGUACAAAUUGUUUCUCUCAUUUGGCCAUAAGAACCUUUUUUACAACAUUGGCAUGUUCUCAUUUUCUACACUUCUGCAAGAAUGCCAACAUGGUGUUGAUAUUUAUUUGCAAAUGAUACUAAAGUCUACGGAUCAUUUUUUUUUCAUAUCAGAAUGUGAUGUCAUGGUUCAUAAUAAUAUAUUCCCCAAAAAAAUUCAAAUUCACCUGAACGAGUUUUCUAAAUUUGUCUACAGAUUAUGUCUGCUAUAUAACCAUAUUACUAAGUUUCUUAGAAAAUUGAUCAAUAUGGCAUUCGUGUGACUGAUAAAUUAUUAACUGGGUACUUUUACUGAUAUUAAAACAUUUCUAUUUUUUUUUGUUUUAUGCAUGCAAUAUUUGGUAAACAAUGACAUUUUGUUCCUGCUAUUUGAUUUGUAAGCGUAGCUUGAAGUGCUUUGUAUCAUACUACCUAAGUAGCUUGGCAUGUUCUACCUACCAAGUGCAUUCCACUUAGACAUCAUCAUGUCGUGCAAGUAGAUAACACAAAGUGGUCCCUUAUUUACUGCAAUACCCUUUUAUUUUCGUGAUUAGCAUCAUCGGAAUGGCGUGGGACUGUUGGGCAGCUAUAACUCGAUAGAUUUGAUAACUUUGUGUGCAUAUGCAUAUUCAAGUAUGUUUAAUAAUGAUCCACCUCUCAAUGGAGUGCUAAUUUUGAGAGAACCGAGGUGGAAUAUGCCGAAGGAACACUUGCGGUGCAGUGCUGCCAAAUAGCCUUCUUCUGGAUAAUUGAGUAGUUCGGUUUUACCAUUACAUUUAUUUUUGAACUUAGAGUAUAUAAUUAAGAUCAUUAGUUUCGUCUCAAGUGCUUUCAAUGUUAAAUGUGAAAAAUCACUUGAUAAUUAUUGAAAAUACAAAAUAAUGAAGUGAUAUAGCUCUCAUCCAUUUUAUGUAAUUAGUAUAACAAUCAUCAAUUCAAGAAUUUAUUAUCUUGGUAAUAUAUAAAUUUCAUAAGAGUUAUGAAAUAGUUGGACCGUAGUUGUAAAUAACUAGCCCGUGCGAACGCACGGGUUGCCGACUAGUGAGGUCUAAUUCAGUAGCUCUCUGCAGUAAACGGUGGAGUGGAUCAAUGGCGAUGAUGAAUAGGAGUGGCGAUAAGGGAUCGCCCUGACGAAGCCCUCUUUGGUGCAUUAUUGUUUGACCAGGGGAGCCAUUUAGCAGGAAGGGCGUAUUGGGACAUAAUAAAGUUAACGUACUUGAUAAAUAUGAAGUAACACUCAAGCAUUUACACACAUUACAAUACCCCAUCUCGAUGACGUCCUUAGUGGUGAAGUCAAGGGAUCUGUGUGAACCUUAUUCCAUCGUCUCCUUUUUGAUGGAUCUGGUGGUGUUUGUUGUUUCUAUGGUGGAUCUCAUCACGUGUGGUGUCGUGUUUUUUUGGGAGAAGAUGAAGGUCCAAGAACAAGGUUGGAGGCUUGUGGGUGGUAGUUCUGGUGUUUUGCCUCGACGACAUCGACGGUAGGCAGCGGAUCUGGGUUUCGAGGAGCACGGGGAUGAUCCCCAGUCGACGCGCCACAGCGACGCUGGCAAGGCAUUUUCUUCGGCUCACAAAGCCUGUAUGGGCGAUGGUGUUUCUUAUUCUCCGAAGAUGGCAAGUGGCAACGAUGGCUAUUGCAGAUUUCUACUUCAAUGGAGUUUUCUUGCAAUUGUUUCUGGACAUGUGUCCUCUCUCUUUUUCUAUCUGGUUUUCAAGAUUUCGUGUUGUAAUAUGACGCAUGUUUAAUUGUAUAUGAAAUUUCACAACAUAGACAUGUAAGAUAAGUAAUAGUAUACUCUCUCAACCUCCGCGCUCAACGAUGCACGCAUUGAUUAAAUUGACAUGGUCACGUAGACAAACCGAACUAAGGCACAAAAACAGUAGCUUCCAACACAAGCUCGGUCCUACGACGAGCUGUGAUUCCAUAUGCUUCACUCAUAUCAAGCUUCUCCGGGUUCCCACCAUCGAGAAGCUUCCAGUCGAAGUGAUAGAGAAGGCUCGCAAGAGCCAUCUCGAUGUUUGACACUCCAAACAUCAUAUCGAGGCACAUUCUCCGUCCAGUGCCGCCAGGGAGGAAUCUGAAGUCCGUACCACCAUAAUCAACCUUUUCACCGUCAAACAUCUUGGGCAUGAACUCACUUGCGUUAGUCCAGCUAUUCUCGUCCCUACCGAUUGCCGACACAUUCACGAAUACUGUUGUGCCUUGUGGAAUAUCAUAGUCCAUGACCUUUGUUUGCUCAGUGCAAUGCCUCGGCAUUAGCAACGGCACCGGUGGAUGCAACCUGAAGGUCUCCUUGAUGGCCAUCUGCAGGUAGCAGCCGGCCAUCGAUGUCGGCCUCAGUCACAUCGGUCUUGCCGUGGAGGACUCGCCGAACUUCAACUGUGCGGCGGCCAUUAUGUGUGGGCUCUUCAUCAGCUCGGACAUUGCCAAAAUUGUUGUUGUGGCUGUCGUCUCCGAUCCUGCAGCGAAAAGGUCCUGGUGACACACACGUAAAUAUGUGAGACUGAAAUAUCAUAUAGCAAGCAAAAGGUGGUAGCUAGCAGGGUUCAAAAUUUCAGUAAAAUUUGCAAAUUUCUGGUAAUUAUGGUGGGUAAUGGAAUAUUUCUAACAUUGAAAUUUUGUACCAUAUUAAACUAAUUUCAAGCCAAAUGUUACAAUGGGCAAAAUUCAUCUGAUUUAAUUAGAUUUUCAUCAAAAUCCAAAAAAAAAUCCGAAAUUCCUACAAGAUCCCAAAGUAAUAUGGUGCCAACCUUUUGGUUAUAUCAACUGUUGCCAAAAAGAUUCUGCUACUGAAAUUUUAACAGAAAAGCUAAUUGGUGACCGUUCGAUGGGAGAGCAUGGCUUUUCAAACGUUUUUCCUGGUAGUUUUAGUUCUGUCGGGGGCGACAGUUUCUUUAGAACAACAUGGCAUUUUCUGGGAGGAUAGCAGUUUUGGGCCUUCACUCCAGAAAAUGACAUGCUCUUAUGAAGAAACUUUCACCCCGACCAACUAGAACUCCAUCAAAAUGUUUACAAAUGCCACCCCUCCCAGUCGAUGGUCGCCAGAUAAGGGGGGGUCCAGUUUUAAACCAUGGUCUUGGGUAGCUAGUGGUGACUGGUGACUCACAAAGAGGACGCCGCUGAUGUUUUCAUCGGUGAGGGCGACGCCGCCAAUCCCGCCGUCCUUCUGGAACCAGAGCAGAGUAGUGAGUAUGUCCCCCCUCUGCUCACGUUCGGCAUCAUUGUCCACCUCGUCCUCCAUAACUUUGCUGCCAUUGUUGAUGAGCUUAAUCUAAGACAUGAUGCAGCUACAUUGGGACAACAGUUAAACAAUGCAAGAAUCGAUUGAGCACAAGCAAUGGAGAUCCAUAGAGAAGAGACGACUCGUGGCUGACUGGCUGGCAUUGCUGAUGAGCUUAAUCUAAGACAUGAUGCAGCUACAUUGGGCCUUGCUUGUGUUUCUAUUGAAUAUCGGAUGGAGCACGAAGUAUAGGUGAUUUUACCACAAGAUUUUUGUUUGUCAUCUACGAGCCCUACCCCUAGGUUUAUACAGGUAUCACGGGGUCUAUGGUUACAGCUAGUCGGUUACGUACAAGAAGAAUGUGUUCUCAACGACUUCUAAUAUCUUGGAGUAUGCGUGAAGUCUUUGGGAGCCUUACUUUUAUACGCCAUGGGUUGCCUCAAUAUGGCCCACUGGUGAACCGAUAUGGGGGUCCUUCGCCCGACUGACCUGGUCGGGAGAGGACAUGGUGUGUGACCCCCAAUCUGGGACGCCGUCAGCUUGGAAGAGCAAUCUCCAUGUUUGACAAUCCAAACAUCAUAUAGGGGCACAUUCUCUAUUUAAUGCCACCAGGUGGAACUUGAAGUCUGUACCACCACAAUUCACCUUCUUGCCCUUAAUAUAUUUGGGCUUGAACUCGCUCGCAUCAGUCCAACUCUUCUCGUCCUUACCAAUUAGCAACACAUAUAGGAACACCGUGGUGUCCUGUGGCAUUGUGCUCUACCAUAAGAACUUGGAGUCCUUAUCAUGGUGAAGAUAAGAUAACGAUGUGAUUCUUGCUAAAAAAUCUGACCGAACACGUUCGAGUUAUUGGCUCGUCCGACCAGGGCUUGGUUUUUCAGACGGAGUAGUUUGGCAUCGUGGGGGAAGCUAGCUCCCUAAGUUAAGAGCAUCCAAUCAUGAAAGUAGGAUGCAUCCGGGCAUAGAGAAGUUUAUUGCUUCAGAAUGGGUUGCUACCAUUUUGCAUUUGUGCAUGGCAUCAUACCCCAUGUCUUUUGUUUACUCAGUGCAAAGCCUUCAGCUAUGUAGAUACGCAAUAUAUUGAAGUCUAGAUCUGCAAUGCAAUAGUAAUGACAUGUGAUCUUUUUGGUCCAUUGUGAUUCUGGGAAACAUCUCAUGCUACCAUACUCGAGCAACCGACAUGUUCCCUUCCCAUGCACACUAGGUGAAUGAGCAACAUUUAAUAUAAUAAAUAAAUAGUUUACAUGGGUCAACUGAUGCAGAGAUCAAGGUGAAAUGGUCUAAUUCACUGAUAGAGUAGAAGUGGUUCAAUGGAUCAUAAAAAGACAUGAAUGAAAAAGGCCCUUUGCACAUAUCUACAUAAGUUCAACAAUCGAGAAAUUAAUACCAAACUCAAAUAGAAACUAAUCGAAUUGCAUGCAAAANNNNNNNNNNNNNNNNNNNNNNNNNNNNNNNNNNNNNNNNNNNNNNNNNNNNNNNNNNNNNNNNNNNNNNNNNNNNNNNNNNNNNNNNNNNNNNNNNNNNNNNNNNNNNNNNNNNNNNNNNNNNNNNNNNNNNNNNNNNNNNNNNNNNNNNNNNNNNNNNNNNNNNNNNNNNNNNNNNNNNNNNNNNNNNNNNNNNNNNNNNNNNNNNNNNNNNNNNNNNNNNNNNNNNNNNNNNNNNNNNNNNNNNNNNNNNNNNNNNNNNNNNNNNNNNNNNNNNNNNNNNNNNNNNNNNNUUGUAUCUCUAACGGAUCCACGAAUAUAAACGUGGGAUAUUCUUUGGAAGCACAGGGACAUAAUAAAAAUUAACUUAAUUGCUAAAUACAAAGUAACAAUCAAGCAUUAACACAUGCUACAAAAUAGACAUAUAAGAUAUGUAAUAGUAUACUCUCUCGGCCUCCGCUAUCAGAUGCACCCAUUGAUUAAAUUGACAUGGCCACAUAGAAAAAAAAAAUUAAGGCACAAAAUCAGUAGCUUCCAACACAAGCUCGGUCCGACGACGAGCUGUGAUCCCAUACACUUCACUCAUAUCAAGCUUCUCCGGGUUCGCACCAGCAGGAAGCUUCCAGUCGAAGUGAUAGAGAAGGCUCGCAAGAGCCAUUUCGAUGUUUGACACUCCAAACAUCAUACCGGGGCACAUUCUCCGUCCAGCACCACCUGGGAGGAACCUGAAGUCUGUACCACCAUAAUCAACCUUUUCACCGUCAAACCUCUUGGGCAUGAACUCACUCGCAUCAGUCCAGCUCUUCUCAUCCCUACCGAUUGCUGACACAUUCACGAAUACAGUGGUGCCCUGUGGAAUAUCGCAGCCCAUGACUUUUGUUUGCUCAAUGCACAGCCUUGGCAUGAGCAACGGCACCGGUGGAUGCAACCUGAAGGUCUCCUUGAUGACCAUCGGUAGGUAGUGGAGCCGGCCGGCGAUGUCAGCCUCAGUCACCUCGGUCUUCCCGUGGAGGACUCGUCGGACUUCGGACUGUGCGGCGGCCAUUAUGUGUGGGCUCCUCAUCAUCUCCGACAUUGCCCAAAUUGUUGUCGUGGCUGUCGUCUCCGAUCCCGCAGCAAAAAGAUCCUGGUGACACACACGGAAAUAUGUGAGACGAAAAUAUCAUGUAGCAAGCAAAAGGUGGAAGCUAGCAGGUUUAAAAUUUCAAUAAAAUUUACAAAUUUCUGGUACUUAUGGUAGGUAAUGGAAUAUUUGUAACAUUGAAAUUUUGCACCAUAUUAAACAAAUUUUAAGCCAAAUUUUACAUUAGGCAAUUUCAUCUGAAUCAAUUAGAUUUCAUCAAAAUCCAAUAGAUUUUCCAAAAUUCCUGUAAGAUCCCAAAAUAAUCUGGUGCCAACUUUUUUUUGUUAUAUCAACUGUUCCAAAAAAAAAUAUCCUACAGAAAUUUUAACGGAAAAGCUAACCGUUAACAGUUCAACGGGAGAGUGUGGCAUUUUCUGGGAGGAUAGCAGUUUUAGUUGUAUCGGUGGGUAGUUUCUUCAGAACAACAUGGAAUUUUCUGGGAGGAUAGCAGUAUUAAGCCUUGACUCCAGAAAAUGUCAUCCUCUUGUGAAGUAACUGCCGCCCCAACCAACCAAAACUGCCAUCAAAAUGUUUGCAAAUGCCACCCCUCCCAGUGGACGGUCGCCAGAUAAGGGGGUCCAAUUUUACACCAUGGUAGCUAGUGGUGACUGGUGACUCACAAAGAGGACGCCGCUGAUGUUUUCAUCGGUGAGGGCGACGCCGCCAAUCCCGCCGUCCCUCUGGAACCGGAGCAGAGUAGUGAGUAUGUCCCCCCUCUGCUCACGUCUGGCAUCAUUGUCCUCCUCGUCCUCCAUAGAUGUUCUGUGAUCGCUGAUCAUGGCGUCCAUGAUGGAGUGGAUUCUCCGGUGCACCUCCCACGUCGCUCCGAGAGCCCGGCCACCGAUAGCCUGGGCGAGGCGCGACGUCGGGAACAGGUCGAUGAGGUUAAACCCGGACAUCAGGUCCAGCACCCUGUCCAGCUCCCGCAGGUACGCGCCCCGCUGCGUGCACCUCUCGCCGACAGACGCCCUCAUGACCACGUCGUUCAUCAUCACCUUUAGCAUGUCACCAACAUUGACGACGGGGCCGGCGUCAGCAACGGACCGCACGAGCCUCGCCGCCUCCUCCUCCCGGACACGGCGGAACGACCGCAUGCGCCUCGGGCUCAGCAGCUCCACGGCGCAGAGCUUCCGGAGGGCCUUCCAGUGCCGGCUGUCAUGGCGCGCGAAGGAGAUAUCCUCGCCGCCGUAGGUGAAGAUGUCUGCCGUGGCGUACACGGGGCGGUCGGCAAAGGCGGCGUCGUGGACCUUCAUGACCUCCCUGGCCGCCUCCGCAGAGGAGAGCACGAGUGUCGGGACGUACGUGGCCCAGGCGGAGAAGCAUGACGGGGCCGUGCCCACGGGCGAGCCUGUGCACGGCCUGGUGCGUAAUGGCGCCGAGCAGGAGGUGCAUGUGGCCGAUCACCAGCAGCGCCCAUGGCCCAGGAGGCAGGUUCAUGCUGCUAGCAGAGGCGGCUCGCCUGUGCUUGAGCUUGACGAGUAUGGCCACGACAAGGAUGCAGAGCAAAGUGUAGCACACGAGCUGGGUGCGUUGGGUUUCCGCCAUUAGAGCUACCUCGAUUAUGGUCGUAUGAGCUGAAGAUUCAAGAUGCGUUUAUAUAGGACGACAAGGAGUAAACAACGCAAGAGUCCAUUGAGUACAGGCAAUGGAAGUCCAUAGGGAAGAGACGACCGUGGCUGACUGGCUGGCAUAUGACGCAGCUACAUAGGGACAAGAGCUAAACAAUGCAAGAAUAGAUCAAGCACGGGCAAUGGAGAUCCACAGGGAAGAGACUGUUAGAAGGGGGAGAGAGGAUUGGUGGAAUGAUUGAUGUAUGGCUUGAGCCUCGUGGGCAUAUAAAUAGGAGUACAUGAUCUACUUGGAGUACAAGACAAGCCAGAAUAGUUUCUAGUUUAUCCUAUGUUUUCUAAUACAACCACGUUACUCAACAUCCCCCUGCAGUCACAACGGUAGCGACACAGACGGUGAGACUGGAGAAGANNNNNNNNNNNNNNNNNNNNNNNNNNNNNNNNNNNNNNNNNNNNNNNNNNNNNNNNNNNNNNNNNNNNNNNNNNNNNNNNNNNNNNNNNNNNNNNNNNNNNNNNNNNNNNNNNNNNNNNNNNNNNNNNNNNNNNNNNNNNNNNNNNNNNNNNNNNNNNNNNNNNNNNNNNNNNNNNNNNNNNNNNNNNNNNNNNNNNNNNNNNNNNNAACGGUCGAUGCAUCGCGGAGUCGUGGCUGGAGUGGAAACCGACGAGGUUGCUCAAGCAGGCGGUAGCCCUUUGUGCCGUUUGUCGAUGUAGCCGAGAGCGUGGGUGCUAGAGCCGUGGUCGAGGUAGCCGUGCGAAGAAUGCCGUGGUCGGUGUCGAGUCAGGGUGGCCGGUGUCGAGGAACUCGCCGUGGAGCCGCAGGCACAAGGGGCGCCGAGUUAGCAUGGGUGCAGUGGUGUCGAAGUAGUGGUGCGCCAGGGAGAAGACGGUGUUGACGAGGCGUCGCGUCGGGGUUGCCAAACCUGGGGACACAUCAUAGACGAAGGCACGCAUCAGUGUUGCCAGCACCGGGCAUGAGUAGACGGUUAAGACGAAGUUGACGAAGUGCCACACUAGGCUUGCCAGGCCCGGGAACACGUGGUGGACGAAGGCACGCAUCGCUGUUGCCAACACCGGGCAUGCAUAGAUGAUGGACCUGCACGAGCUGUACGCCAUGUCGAAGAAGUCGGAGGGGCCAGCAGAGAAGAACUCGACGACGAUUGCGGCGUCCAUCGGCGCGGGGCCGAUGUCACCAACGAUGGUCGGAGUAGACGAAUUGGUCGGGGUAGAUGACGGUGACGCUGGCGACGGGCUAGUGCUGGAAGAAGACGAACGGGGAGGACGGGCGGCGGCGGUGGCCAAGGAAGAGCGGCGGCGGCGGCCUGACAGCGGCGGCAGCUAGGUUAGGAGUGCGGCGGCGGUGUUCGGAGUAGGCGAAGAACCCUGACAGCAUGACGAAGACCGGCGCGGACGGUGGCGUUUCCACCCCAAGGAAGACGGCGCGACGCAUACCACAGGAAGUCGACGCGCGGGGACGGCGGAGUGGACCGCGGGCCGCGGCGCUACAGCCCGAUGGGGCGACAUAGCAGCGACGGACAGGUCGGGGCGACGGCAGGAAGACCUCGGGACGGCGGCGGGGACCGCGGGCCGCGGCGCUACGGCCCGAAGGGGCGGUGCAGCGGCGUAGCGCGGACCGGUGCAACCGUGGGGACGGCCUCGGGGCAACGGCUAGGACCGCGUAUCGCGGCACUACGGCCAGUAGGGACGACGCAGCGGCAACGCACGAGUCAAUGCAGUCGCGAGGAGAACCACGGGGCGGCGGCGCUUCGGCCCGACGGGGCGACGCAGCGGCAGCCCGUUGCUCGAUCGGCAGAGGGGCGCGCUGAACUCGGGGAUGCUCUUCACGGGACCUGCAGAGACGCGCGUAACCGACGGGUCAGGUCGGUCGCGCGGCGUACAUAAGGCGGAUCGCGGUAGCGAGCGGGUGAUCAAGUCGAUCGCGCGCGAGGUCGGGGACACCGCUCGAUGGAGACGGGGUGGCGGCGGAGUCCGAGAUGAAGCCGGCGAUGAUGGAUGGCGUGGGACGACGAGCGAACGAGCGCGUCAGCACCGGCACCUGGGCCACCAAAGCAGCGAGGCCCGAGCGACCAACGGAGCAGCGGCGCCCGAGCUCAAGGCAGCCGGCGGGCCUAACGCGGCCGGCCCGAUACAGCCGGGGACGAGGUCGGCGAGGUAACCCGCAGGGCCGCCGUGCAGACACGGCGGAGGCGGGUGGCGUGGAUCAAUUGGCGGGCCAACACGCGAGCAGCGGAUAUGAUUGGCCGUCGGAUGGCGCGAGGCCGCCGGGUGUAGGCGAUGCAGGUGUCCCGAUCGGAGCAGGGCGGUGAUGGCCGGCGUAGGGCGACGGGCGGGCCGCGCGCAGACGACGGCCUUGAGGGGCCGCCUGUCGCGCGAGGCCGCCAGGUCGGUGAAGUAGUCGGCCGGGCGUGCCGGUGUCAGAGUGGAGGCGCGGGGUGUCGACGGCGGCAGUGGGCGACGCAAACCGAUCCAGUGGAUCGAAAAACCAAAAAGUAGACGCCGAUCAAAGCGACCGGCGAGAGAGAGAAAAACCCGGAUAAAAGCAUCGGGAAAAAGACUCUCUAGGGCAGCCGGUCGACACGAUCAGCGGACGAACCCUAGGUACGGGUGGCGCGGCCCCCAGCAACGGUCAUAGAGGCCGACCGCCCCGGGGGCGGCGCGCGGGUGCGGAAGCGUCGACGGCUAGGGUUUAGAAUCGAGAUAAUGCUGAUACCAUGUUAAAAGGGAGAGAGAGGAUUGAUGAAAUAAUUGAUGUAUUGCUUGAGCCUCGUGGGCAUAUAAAUAGGAGUACAUGAUCUAUUUGGAGCACAAACAAGCCAGAAUACUUCCUAGUUUAUCCUAUGUUUCCUAAUACAAUCACGUUACUUAACAGAGACGAUCAUGGCCAACUUGUUGGCAUUGUUUCUGAGCUUAAUCUAAGACAUGAUGCAGCUACAUUGGGACAACAUUUAAACAAUGCAUGCAAGAGUCGAUUGAGGACAAGCAACGGAGAUCCAUGGGAAAGAGACGACCGUGGCUGACUGGCUGGCAUUGCUGGUGAGCUUAAUCUAAGACAUGAUGCAGCUACAUUGGGACAGCAUUUAAACAAUGCAAGAAUCGAUUGAGCAAAAGCAAUGGAAAUCCAUAGAGAAGAGACGACUCGUGGCUGGUGAGCUUAAUCUAAACAUAUGAUGCAGCUACAUAGCGACAACAGCUAAACAAUACAAGAAUAGAUUAGGCAAUGGAGAUCCAUCGUGGCUGACUGGAUGUGGAUGGCAUUUCGCGCUGAGAGAUGUAGCUGCUACACUUACGGACAUGUGCUACGGAUACAUUGUUACGGACUGAAUUGUAGCCGUCUCGUUGGAGAUUAGCAGGGGAAGAGGGGCCACCAACGGAAAUCAGGGGGGCAGAGAUUGGCGGAGUCGGUUUCCGUGAAAACAAUCCGUAAAAUACAUCCGGAAGUGUAGCAUUUUCGUUGCGCGCUAGUAAGAUAUGCUGUUUUUAUAUUGCUUGACGUCCUACGUAUAUGCAUUGUACUGCAUCAUACCAGACAGGACAAAAAGAAGCUGAGACGGCAUCCAGAAGUUCUCUUCCUACUAUAUGUGUUGGUGAUUCUGAAACAGCAUCUAAGUGCCACGUUCUCUUCCUAUUUCGGUAGGAUAGAAAAUGGCUGGAUCAACUUUUAGUACUUGCACUGCCAAGAAUAUGCUCUCAUGAUUACGUGGAUCUUGCUAUUUCUGCAACUAGGCAUCAGUGGACUGGAAUUUUCAAAGCAGCAGAAGACGCGUUGGAUACUGGAUCUCUAUUGGAUGAUCAAAACGUACGGGAAAAAAGUAAUAUGGGCCUCUCUCAACUACCAAAUCUCAGAUGAUGAUUUGGUUGAUUAUGGUGGAAACCUCUGUUCAAGAUAUCUUCCGAUAUUCCGAUAAAUCGGUCGAUUUAUCGCUUACCAGUGUCUGACCGAUAAGAUAAAUCGGCCGAUAAAUUAGCCGAUAUGGCGAUAAAUCGGCCGAUAUGCCGAUAAACUGGUCGAUUUACCCCUUAUCAUGGGUCAACCGAUAAGUUUCCGAUAAGCGAUAUCCCCAACAUUCGAAACCAACCCAUCAAAAUUAAAGAGCACGCGGAUCAUCGUUUGAUUGUUUUCGUUUUCUCCUAUGAGUGGUGCGGAGGGGAGCCGGUGCACGCAUGCGCGUAAGGUGUACAAUCUCUUCACGUCAUGAGAAAACAGUGAUGAAGAAAAUAUUUUGACGGUGCCAACGACCUUGAAUAUCCAUCCAUCGUGGUGGACCCUUUUUUAGGAAAAGGGGGAUUAAACCCGGUCUUUGUAUCAGAGUGAUGCAUGCAGCCCCUUUUUUAAGCAAAGUGAUUGAAAAGUCUGUGAUCCAGAACAACCUCGCUGAGAGCUGAAGGAAAAUAAAAAAGUAUAAUAUGCCACAACCGGCGAAAAUAGGACGAGAUGACUAAACACAUAUACUAUUACUGGACCGCCAUCCAAACCGGUUGUAGAUAUCCCGAACUAUCAUCUCUCAUCUGGCAGACCCAGUAACCAAAAGCUCCCUGGCUUUCACAGGAAUGAGUAACGACCACAUCCGAAUCCAAGCAGUGGCCCUGUAGAUAACCUGCAAGAAAAUAAUACAAGUUUGUCUGUUAAAAACCAUGUCAUCUCUACAGUUUCAUAUAGCCCAAAGUAAUGCACAUACUCCUAUCCCAAUAUGUCUCGUAAUAUUAGUCUCUACUCCAUUUAACCACGUCACAAAUAACAUGUGAAUACUAUUUGGGGGUGGGAUAUUAAAGGCUAUAUGAACUGAGCCAUAAUAGUUUGGCUAGUGGAAAAUCGAGAAAGAGGUGUUUGAUGGUUUCAUCAUGAUUACAAAAGCUACAUCUUUGACUACCCUCCCAAUUACAUUUUGUCAAGUUAUCCUUAGUCAGAACCACCUCCUUGUGAGCAAACCACAUGAAGACUUUGAUUCUUAAUGGGACUUUGCUCUUCCAAAUAUGUAUCGAUUUUGGAAUCAGAGCAGAAUCAAUUAGGUCCAAAUACAUAGAUUUCACUGAGGAAAUGUCAUUCGUAGUUAAUUUCCAUUGAAUAUUAUCAGGCUCAUCAGAGAAGUUCACAUCUAUGAACCUUCUGACCAGUUGUAGCCAUGCUUCCGAUCGGUCUCCUACCAAAGAUCUCCGGAGUUGAAUAUUUGAAGGGUUGGACUAUAACACUGUAGCAAUGUAAGUCUCCUUACGAUGUACAAUCUUAUAGAGAGAUGGAUAUUGUGUGGCUAAAGAUGUCUCCCCUAACCAUAUAUCCUCCCAGAAUCUCGUCGAAUUACUGUUUCCAAUGAUGAAUUUAGUUCUAUCAAAGAAAACUGCUUUUGUUCUCAUCAAGCCCUUCCAAACAGGUGAAGCAUUGGCUCUAACAGUAACCUGGGUCAGGGUCCUAGAUUGUAAGUACUUAUUACGUAAAAUUUGUAACCAUGUGCCUUCGGUCUCCACAGAAAGCCUAUACAACCAUUUACUGAGUAGACAUCUCUUCUUUACCUCUAAAUUCUCAAUCCCAAGACCACCCUGGUCCUUCGGCCUACAAAUGAAGUCCCAUUUAGUAAGCAUGCGCUUUCUCUUUAUUUCAUCACUCUACCAGAAGAAUCGUGAUCUAUAGAAGUCCAAUCAUUUUCGUACCCCUAAAGGUACCUCAAAGAAGGACAAGAGGAAGAUCAACAUACUCAUGAACACUGAGUUUAUUAGUAUUAGCCGACCUCCGUAUGACAUAAGCUUGUCCUUCCAGUAGCUUAGUUUUUUUUCAAAUCGAUCUUCAAUACACUUCCGCUCCAUGUUAGAUAGAUCGCGAUGGUGAAUUGCUAUGCCAAGAUAACUAAACGGUAGGGUACCCGGUUCACAUUUGAACAAUUGUUUAUAAGAAUUUUGUUAAUCUUUGACUCUCCCAAAACGAAAACAAUUCGCUUUUGUUAAAAUUAAUCUUAAAUCCUGACAGUUGUUCGAAUAGGCAUAGCACAAACUUCAUAUUUCUGGCCUUUGCCAAAUCAUAUCCAUCCUGGCGGACUGUGUAGCUAGGCAGGCAGGCUCAACGCAGGCAACCAUGCUCUGAAUUGGCGAUCAAGGAAUUACAAUGGGAUGAAUCCGCUGGUUGGAUCAAGACCCAUAGCCGCUGGGAAGUAGAUGGGAUCUAAACACUUCGUUAGCCAAAAUAUAUUAUACGCGUCUCGGUCGAUGCAUGUUUAUGCCACCAUUAUGUGAUGCAUGGGAAUGAAGAACUGGCAUUCGACCAUUAUCAGUAGUUGCUAGCAUACUAACAAGAACUAAUAACAAAUGAACCCACAAAAAACAAAACAAAAAGCACCUGCUUAGGUGAAAAUAUUCAGAUAUGAACCAACCGAACAUAAAUUCAAGCAGCUGAUUUUAAAUGAGAGGCAUCAAUGUGUUGGUAAGAUGACUUUGCAAGCAUUGACCAAUAUAGUGUGUUCCAUUUUUAAGCAUAGACUAGCAAAUAUGCCUGUUCGUUGCAACAACAGGGGUGACAAAAAUAUCCGGUAAUGUAUCAAUUCUAAUAUUAGUUGAUAUGAUCCAGGAUUGACCAGUUUGUGUAGCAUGCAAUUUGUGCAUAUGGAUCUUGAACUUUGGUGGCUACAGCUAUUUCCUGGACUCUAUGGCUCCGAAAAGCUUUAUUCCACCUAUCAUGGCUGCCAAAAAAAUUGCAGACAAUGUUCAAGUGUAGACGCAUAGAACUCGUGGGGCAGUUUCUUUUGUUGUUUCUUUCCUCUUUCUUUUUCUUUUGUCUCCUACCGUCUCCAUCUUUGUAGUUGUAUACUCUUCCCAUUGUGUGUGUAAAAAUUGUGUUGGACAAGGUUCUCCAUGCAUGUCAUCCGUUUCUAAUGAAAAGGUAGGGGCCUCCCCUCAUGAAGUUGCUGAAAGAAUACUAUGUAUGUAGCAACAUAGCUGAGCAUUAUGUGCUCUAGUAUGAUAUGAGUUAGAAAAUUUGUCCAUCGCCUCUAUUAUACAUCGAUGUUAUAUCGUCAAAACAAAAUUCUAGUAUUAUGAAACCUUCGGUUCAUACAUAUUUUUAUCAAUGAAGAUUCAAACCAUAAAUUCAAUUAAUGCAUUACAAAUGAAGAUACGUCAAACAAGCACUCAUGCAGAUAACAAGCUGUAAUUUAUUAAUAUAUUCGACACCUUACAUAUAUAUGAUCUUCAAUAAAAGCAUUUAUUCCAAUUCAUUUGCUAUGGUACAAGCAAAUUAUUCAUAACAGCUUUCUCUCAAUAAAAAGGUGCACGCUGAGGGAUCCCCUUUCGGCGGUGACGAAUAACCCUUGGUGGAGAUGGUCUUUCGUUGCAAUAAUCUGCAUCGCUGCAACUCUCUUCAUUGUUUCCAGUAUUUCCACUUGUGGUAC